AUCAGAUGCCGUUGCCCAUGCCUCCUUCACCAUCACAGCCUCCGGCUCUCCCCUGAAAUGGUUUCAGUUGCAAGCUCUCUGUCUCAAGUCUCAGCUCAUCAGCCCCACCACCCGGCUCUCUAUCUAGCUGCGCAGUUAUAAAUACGCUGCGACGUCGCUCACAUUCCUCCCUGCAAAUCGCAACACCCAAGCCACUGAGCGAGCUAGACACACACAAACCCAAUCCAGAGCUAGCCAAGAAGCAGGGAAGCUAGAGACGAUCCAUCGCGCGCUGCCAUGGCUCCGUCGUCGCAACGCACGGCCGCGGCCGCCUUCUUUGUCGUCCUCCUCGUCCUGGCGUCGCCGUCUCUGCUGCAACUGCAAGCAGCCAGGACGACGCCGAGUGACGACGGACAGGGACAGCAGCAGCAAGUGCUCGCCGCGACGGCGACGACGAUGAGCAGCAGCAGCUCCACUACGCCAGCGGCCGGGCCUGCGUCGGCAUCAUCGGCCUUGCAAGAGAGGCCCGCGAUUGCGCUUCUGCCGCCGCCGCCGCCGCCGGCCACCACCAUUGCGGCAGCUGGCCGCAGCCGGCUGCUCGGCUCCGUGCCCAGCCCCGGCGUCGGCCACUAGCUCCGCUCCAGAGUCCAGACACCGCCUCUUCGCAGUAGCGUGAUACUACUGACCAUGAGUCUUACUACUAAUUCCUAGUUCCAAUUUCAGCAUGAGAGUUGAGACAUCUCCACAUGCUACGACGCAUACAUGUGGAUCAGAGUUUCAGGCAAAGAUCAGUUCUAUAUAUGUUAAUAUACAUAUAAGUUAAACUGGAAAAUCUUUUUUCUUUAUCUUCGAUUUUAGUUUUCAUUACGUCGCUGUCUGCUGGAUGGUUCUGAUGUGUUUGAAUGGAAUGUUGCUAAAAAUUACAUCAAAUUCUUUGACGUUUCACGUGGGCUCCCUAUUGAGUUACAUCGACCGAAAAGGGACCUGAUUGGACGCCGGCCAAAGCAAUCCGUCGUCUCCUUGCUCGGGUUCCCUUCUCGCGGUUGCUUGCCUGGCAUCAACACCUGUUGCGUGCAUUGGCGCAUUGCUGCCGAUGGGCGAUAGAUCCAGCGGCAAUGGCAAAGCUGAUGCUUCUUCCGAUCCAUUUGCUCCGGCGACAUAUGGAGUGCUGAAAACUAAAGCCAUUCAUUCCCUUUUUAAAAUGCUGCAAAGUCAACGCACUUACAUUCCAAAUAAAACGCUUGAGUUUCACACCAUACAUCACUUCAAUCUCUCUGAAAGAUAUAUAGAUAGGACGUAGUGGUCCUAUAGACGAGUUAUUUGAUUUGAUUUGAGCUUAAUUUUGAUGUCUCAAAAAACCAAGUGUUUUAUAGCCUUCUAAGGGCCUGUUUGGCAACCAAGUGUUAAAAUUUAACACCUGUCACAUCGGAUGUUUGGAUGCUAAUUAGGAGUAUUAAAUAUAGGCUAAUUACAAAACUAAUUGCACAGAUGAAGUGUAAUUCACGAGACGAAUCUAUUAAGCCUAAUUAGUCCAUGAUUUGACAAUGUGGUGCUACAGUAACCAAUUGCUAAUGAUGGAUUAAUUAGGCUUAAUAGAUUCGUCUCGCGGAUUAGCACAGGGUUCUGCAAUUAGUUUUAUAAUUAGCUCAUAUUUAGUUCUCCUAAUUAGCAUCCGAACAUCCGAUGUGACACUGUUAAAGUUUAACACCUCGUAUCCAAACACCCCCUAACAUUUUUUUGUCUAUAUUGGGUUUGCAGACAUUUUUUUUGGGUGCGAUAUUUAUAUGAUGGACGAUUCCAGUAGUACUUGAUUUUUUUUUGUCAGUUAAAAUUUAAAUUUAAUCGAAAACCAAGCGUUGAAAGCUUUCUACAAUGCUUAUGUGUUGUAUAGUCACUGUUUCUGAUAAUAACAUGACCGAGUAGGGUUAGAUGUGUUCAAAUAGUGCCUUGUUAAUUGCUUAUACAAAUAAGGGCCCAUUUGUAAUGCGAAUGAUGUUUAACAAUAACGAAUCCCUUUUCCUAAAUUAAUUGGCCUAUGAUUUACCGAAAGUUCAAAAAGUUAUAUUGCUAAAAAGAGAAAAUUCAACAGUUGUGUUAGGAGUAUGUAAUAAUUAUUGCAUGAAACUGUCACCAUCUCAGGGAUGAUGAUGCUAUAGCUAGUUCCCUCUUUGUGCGUUCAUAUAAAUGCACACUUGGUCAACCAGCUCAACACCUGGAAAUCUUAUCCUAUUAUUCUGCUUCAACGCUUUGCAAAAAGGGGGGGAAAAAAGAACGCUUGAUACAAACAAAUCAAAGAGCUAGCAUCAAUAAUUGGCACAUUUGGCAACAUUAGAAAUUAUCUAGGUGUCAAAAAACGGACAAAAUAUAUGCAGGGCACAUCACCAUCAUAUUAGCCAAUAGCAACGGUAGGUUGCAGUGAAAAGCGUCUAUCUAGUGUGUAGAAGUAGAACCGUCACAUCCCAAACUUUCUGCACGGAAAUGUCCAAUCCUUAAUGGAUAAACAUGGCAAGAAUGCAGCAUGACUUCUUUUGCAAAUGCCGGGGCUAAGUGAGUGUAAGUGGGAGUUUCAUGAGCAUUAAUUUUCAUGUCAUAUCAUCAAUUUUGCUGAUUUGGCAAGAUAUUUAUGAAGAGAGAUAAAGAAAAGUGUCAUCCUAUGUGAGAGAAGUUUCAUCCACAUGACACUCAACAGAUACAAUUACCUAGUUUCCACUUUUGGUAACUGUGCAUCGAGACUGGCAGAGAUGUCCAUGUCGAGUUGACACACAAUUCGUGGCAAUCCCAUCGAGAGCCAUUCAAUGUGGUCACUGUGCACUUUUGAGAUUUAAGCCACUGUACCAGAUAAUUAGCACGGAUCAACCGCUGUCUUAAUUAACUGUGACAGCAACAGUGACGGCCACACAGGAUUUCAGGGAACUGGAAGGUCCGUCUGGGCCAUACUCGGCCAUUUUUCCUUGAACGAUCCCCCAUGUGUUACUGACGAGAUCUCCGGAACGGAGAGUGGUAUGCCCACCCACACGUCCAGCAGAUAUUUCCAGGCUACUCUUGCACUUUUCUCCCUUUUAAGUUGUGCUGCAUAUCAUGGAUGAUCAUCAGUUCAGUUGCUAUCGCCGAAGAAAGGCAAGAAAGGGCUUUCGAGUCCGCGCGAGCACUGACCAUCUCUCGGAGUUUCAACUCUCAAAAGUGCAUCGCGAUCGCGUCGUCGUUUUCCUCUGGAACGAAAUUCAUCGAGAUCAAAAGCUUCAGUUCAUUCCUGGUGCGGCGGCGGCAAAUCGUUUUUCCACACGUGGAGGUCAGGUACGGACGCCAUGUCGCCUCGCGACAGCCGACGGCACCGAUGCCGUGGUUUCCUACGCGCUGGCUGACCGACUCUUUACAGCAAGUAGAUCGGCCAGCCCAAAAAAGCCUAGCUCGAUCAUCACCCUGACCCUGAGUGGCGGGUCGGCGCAGGUCAUCUUCAACCUUCUUCCUUUCUAAGGAGAGGAGACCCUUGAAACAACUCCUUACCCGAAGAACCGUACCCCGAUGAUAACAACCACCAAGGGCGCGAUAAGAUUAGGUUUGGAUGCAUAAGGACGUCGGAGUGAGUGACUGACGGUGUGAGGGUUCUUUUGGCUCCUAGCAUGGUGACCUACCAUGUAAGUUGCAAUGCGAACAACAAUCAUACAAGGCCAGGGCUGUGGACGAACAGAACUCGCUUGUCCAGUCAAGUUAAAGCUGAAACGAAAUAUCGUGCUGCAUUUCCAAUCCUCAUCAAGAAUCGCCAACUGAUGAAACUCCAUCCACGUUUUUGCCACACGGUGUUGUAAAAAAGCAUGCACGUUGAUUGGAACUUGCCAAUAACAUAUCGAAAGGUUUCACGUCAGCGCGUGUAAGUAGUCCCGAGUUUUCGUGCUGGACCAGAGCAAAGGUUCGUUUGACAUGAGCCAAACCCACUGUGCAUCUCACUUUGGAAAGUGAAAAGGUGCCAUAACGCGUGGUAACCACGGCCACCGGAGGAGUGUCAGCUACUGUUCCUUGAACAUGCAUGGCAAUGAGUGCUACACCUCUACACCACACUAUAGAGGAUUGACCACAGGUCCACAACUAGCUAUUCUUCUUCAGGAAUUGCAUUUCAUCAUUGGUGACAAGAUGACAAUGGAUCGACAUGCAACCCCCCCCCCCCCCCCUUUUUUCCUUUUGAGCGAGAAUAGGUAAAUGUGCACCAGGAAUCGCCUAGCCUGCACGCGCACCAUACACUCCAAUCCCUCUGUUCUAAAAUAGUAAUGUUUUAAUUUUGCCAUAAGUUAAACUUUUCCAACUUACAUUUGUAAUACAGUAUCAAGAUAUAUAAAUUUGAAGGUAGAUCUUUAAUAAACAAAUUCGAUAUUGUAGGUAUUGUCCUAUUUUUUCUAUUAACUUACAAGAUAAUAUUGAUAUAAGACAACUAAAAUACCUUAGAAUGGAUGGGUUACUUUCUUUUUCCUUAUGGUAUUUUUCACCUCAACUUUUUAGAUCAUUUUCCGCACGAAUCAUUUAGGACGUCUUUAAUGGUAUGAGCUAUACUACCACUAAGUCAGCAAAUGUGGGGGAGUAGGCACCCUUGAAUAGGUGCUAUGAUAGUGAAGUGCAUUGGAAAACAUUCGAAAUGGUCUUUUAACUACACGCUAGUCUAUGCUUUUCUCACUGUUCUAAAAUAUUUAUGUUUUAAUUUUAUCAUAUGUCAAACUUCUCCAACUUUUACAUCUACUAAUAUCAGAUAAAUGCAGUGCCAAGAUAAAUUUGAAGGUGAAUUUGAAUAAACAAAUCUGAUGCUGUAGGUGUUGUUUUAUUUUCUGUUAACUUGCUAGAUAAUAGUGAUAUAGGAUAAAACUAAAACACCUUAAAUGUUAGAACGGACACUUUCUGGUAUUUUCACCUCUAUUUUUUAGAUCAUCUUCCACACGAGCCAAUUAAGCUCGCCUUAGUAGAAGUGGGCAGCGGCACUGGGUGGACGGUGUAUCCGCCCUUAACUGAGGAGGUGUUUGGGAGAUAGUGGCUAAACUUUAACCCUGUCACAUCGAAUAUUUGGAUGCUAAUUAGAAGGACUAAAUAUAAGCUAAUUACAAAACUAAUAGCAGAACCCCUAGGCUAAAUUGCGAGACGAAUCUAUUAAGCCUAAUUAAUCCAUCAUUAGCGAGUGUUUACUGUAGCACCACAUUGUCAAAUCAUGAACUAAUUAAGUUUAAUAGAUUUGUCUCGCGAUUUAGCCUAGGGUUGUGCAAUUAGUUUUGUAAUUAGCCUAUGUUUAAUACUUCUAAUUAGUGUCCAAACAUCCGAUAUAGUUUAGCCCCUGUCUCCCAAACACCCCCUGAAAUAACAAGCUAUUCUAGAGGAGCAGUUGAUUUAGCAAUUCUUAGUCUUCAUCUACCAGGUGUUUCAUCAAUUUUAGGUUCCAUCAAUUUUGUAACUACUUCUAUCUUUACUUUUAUUAAAAAUGCACGAGCCAUUUACUAGCAUGCAGGAGAAAUCUUAUUUCUCUUCUGUUUGUUUUUUCUAUAACAAAAUACUUCUGACUUGCGACAGACCGACAGAUUGCCUACUGCUGGCCCAGAAAAUAUGGGCCCAGCCCAUCCUAUUCCUGGGCCGAUAUACGAAAAUAAGGCUGGUUUGUAUUCGUGUUAGUUUUUGACAAAAGUUUGCAGCUUUUUUUUCACUUUAGUCCAACAUAAAUCAACGUCGAAGAAGAAAUACAAAAACAGAGAAGAUAGAAGAGCCGAUUUUGAUCUACAAACACACUGAUACCACGCAUUUACAUGAUCGAUCGUAUAUAAGUAGUAGUAAGUACAGAGCUUCAACGUUAAUCUGUAUCAUCUAUAGUAAAUCAAAGAUAAACAUGUGUGUGUGUGUGUGUGUGUGUGUGUGUGUGUGUGCGUGUGUGUGUGUGUGUGCAAAAGUAUGGAGAUAUAUACUCGUGACGAUCAGCUGAUAGCAGAAGCACAAACGAUCAACGCAUGCCCGGUGCGAACUCCGAUCCUGGGAAGCACCCGCCGCGCGCUACACGUGGCCCCUGAUGCUCGGGCCGGAUGGCGGCAGCGGCACCACCUGCCGGGGCUUCGCCGCCACGCGGUCCGUCGCCGGCGCACCGUGGCUCGUGGACAUCGAUUCCGGCGCCGCCGGCGACAAAGCGGCACGGCCGCCUGGCGCCAUGAGGAGGACAGCCGAGCGGCGGUGGCCACCGCCGCUCCACGGCCAUGGCGCAACCCUUGCCGCGGACGACGGCGACGCAAGCGCUAGCGCUACAAAGAUGAACCCCAGCGACAUGAUCGUCAUCUUCAACUUGAAAAGCCGCCGAGAAGCUGAAGGUGGAGGAGCCAUGGCUCUGGGCCUCUGGUCGAUCGAUGGCUCGGCCUUCAGAUUGGUAUGUGUGUGCACGUAUGUGCUGUUGGUGGAGGAGCCAUGUGAGCUGGAAUCUAUUUGAUUUGAUUAGAUUUGCUGAUAAAGAAGGUUUGGUACGUGCUAGCACCGAGUCUCUAUCUCUAUAUCUCUUCAUGGACUCUUGACAGGUUUGUGUAGGCAUCGCAUGCGUUGUUAGGAUGGUAGGGGGCGCAUGGUUACGCAUGUCAGUGACAUCUGAUAGGAAUCUGGGUUUCAGAAUAGGCUAGGGCUUUUCAGAUAGCGAGGGUGAGAGGCGUCACAACUCUAGACGACGUAGACCAAGCAAACUGCCGCCCAACUGCAAUAUUUCUUGAAUGAUGGUGACGUAGAAACAUGAGAAACGCUAUUUAUCUGUUCGAACAAAUUUGUUGACAAAAAAUCUGCCAGAUUUGCAAUGUUCUAGGGUAAUGUAAACAAUAUUUGCCGGUGAAAUAAAAUAUUCUAGGUAGAGCAUUUAAAUUUCUUAAAAAAACAGAGGUGACAGGCUUUAGAUUUGCAAUGUUCCAGUCUAAGAAGAAAAAAAUCCAAGUAGCAAAUAAAAUAUUUUAACUCUAUUUCCCUUAUUCUGUAAUAGACGGAUGAAUAUAAUUACAUUGUUGCAUCUGACGGAGAUUUCACUCAUGAAAUCUGUCAAAAGAUAAUUAGAUAGUCCCUAGAAAUAAACUAUACAAUUGCGAUGCAAUAGUAUGCCUAAACUUUUGGAGUUCAUUUGUCAAUAUGAGUGUUCAUUUUCUAGACUUAUAUUUAAGUCGUUAACUACUAAAAUGAUGAAUGUAUUAAAUCAUGAAAAUCCAAAAAAGUACAGAUGUUAAGGCAGCCUCGGGUAAGACAACUAUACUAGUAUCACUUUUUUGGGUAAAUUAUUUGUAGUACCUUUUACUGUAAAAUAAGUUAAAAAUCAUAAUAUAACAACAACAGUAGUUUCAAGCCAUACAAUUUCCAUAUGUCAAACAAGAAUGUUCACAACCAUGGUCAUGGUUAAAAAGUUGAAAAGAUCCAUUGCACACACACCAACAUAGAACUUAUCUUUGAUUAUGGCGCAGGUUGUUGCUAUUCUUUGAAGCAUCCAUAAUUUUAAUCCCACAAACUUCUACGGUAAAGAAAACAACCCUUCAUUGGAAUAUAAUAAAACGGAGAGGUUAAUGUAAGCGAUGAGAGAAUGAAGUGGAUCGCAACAACUGAACUGCAUUGAUCUUGCCUUGGUGUACAUGUACAUGUACACAGCUGAACGAGUCAGUAACUAACCGAUAAGCUAACUAACCUAGCUACUUACACGGAGAACCACGGGACGUGAUUUACGGGAGCCUAUACAUCGCUAACAGUUAAUUGCACUCGAAAAUCAAGCCCAUGAUUUUAUCUUCCUUUCUUUUUGUGUCACUGUAUGUUCUCAAUCAGAUGUCACACUCACUCUAGCUAUCCGGGUCCAUGACUCGAUGGUUCAUCACCGGCCGAAGGAAGACAUGUAUGGAGCAAGCAUAUCUGCUGAACCUAUAGGUUUGCAUGUCCACGUGACAUGUUGGCAUUUCCUGUCGGCCUGUCGUCAGUAAUGGCUGCUAGCUCUACCCAACACGUGCGUGCUUGGACCGUUGGACGACCACCCAUCGUUUGGUACGAAGAAUUCCUGCUUAUGAUGACACGGCUGGUUAUAUGCAGCUUAUCAACUUAGCUUGAUUUGCAGUGAUGACAGAUGAAACGAGCAAUGUAAUGCAUGGAUUAACUGUUUUGUAUAUUCUACAUUGAUGAUGCGAACAGAGAGAAUUUGGGUCAGAACAAAUAAGCCAGAGGAUAGAUGCCUUCGAAGCAUUAGCCCAUGGGCUAAGUGAAUGAUCAGUAGUUAUAAAAACAUUGUUGGGAUUCAGGCAUUCAGCAGUAGACAAAACAGGAAGAGGAUACGCUGCCUGCGCAAUCUCUUCUUCCUCUUCUUCAGCCUUCUCUGUUCCAAAGGCGUAGCCAGAAACUCAAUUUUUUCGUUGCUAGGGGGACCAGCAGUGGUAAUUUUUUCAAAAUUUGAUAGAAUUCUUUUUUUUUUGGAAAAUUGGAAGCCAUAGCCCCCCCUCCUCGAGGCACAACAGCAAAACUGGAACGGUAAAAGCAGAGGAAGACGACAGACGCGAAGGCGUAACCGGACUGUCCUUUUUUGAGGCACAACUGCGGGCAACGCGUUGCCGGGCACAAGCGGCGAGCGCCCGUUGCUCGUCUGUUUCUUCGCCAUCGCCGCCGUCCUCUCGUCUCCCAAGCUCUGCCACAUCCGAUCCCACACCAGUCCGUGCCUCGGGGCCCUCGAUCGGUUAGAGGAAUGCUGGCGGCGAUGGACUCCUCGUGCCGGCGAUGAUGCGCCGAGGGGAGCAAUCGGACAUCCGGUAGGACAAACGGGAGGGGAGCGCGCAUGGAACGGCCGGGAUACGGCGGUGCUCCGGCGAGACAGCGGCGCCCAGGGGUGGUCGGCGAACGAAGUAACGACCGGGGGCGGACGGUAAAUGAAAUACCGCCCACCCCCCGGGUUCCCAGUAGCUGUUGGAUCGGACACCUGCGGCCUGGAUCUGCGUACGGGAAGGACAGACUUCUCUCCUCUAUCGCCCUCGCUCGAGAGACCCCUGCUGUGCCCCUUGACGCCGCUCUGAGAUCCGGCGACCCGCGGCGCGCAGGCACCGCCCAAGAACGCAGCUGUCGUCGAGUGAACGCCUCACGGUAGAGAUUGUUGCUGCAGAUCCGCGGAGAAGGCGAAGAUACGGUCCUCGCGCAUGUCCUCCUCCGUGCAGACAUAGGAGCUGUUGCUCAAAAGAAGUAGAGGCAUUGGCAUUGACCAAGGACUCAAGGACAGUAAACACAGGCCAGAGGCCCUCGCCGUCGGCACCACUGGAAUCGAAUCACACCAACACGACCCAGCGGCGUCGCGGACAGGCACGGCCCACGGCAUGCAUCUCGGGCUGGCCAGAGCUUGCGGCGACGCACAGCGCGCGCCUCGGAGGCAAACGGGCUGGUGAACAGAGGUCGGGGACGGGGAGAGCCUCCACCGCGCCGGUUCCGUUCCGCCGGCGGGCGACCACAACUUCAGGAGGCCUCCUCCCUCCGGUACGCGGAAGGUGACAGGCGAGCGCGCGAGGUCGCGGCCGGGUCGCGGCGGUUGUCCGGCGAGACAACAACCCCAGGGGUGGACGCCUCGGUCUCUAUCAACCAUCGGAUCGUCCUUGUGCGGUCGAGAUUGACCAGGAAAUUACAUAAGCGGAUGGAAAUUCCCCAGUUCUUCUUCCUCGCUCGACUCCCGCGCCCCCGUCCCCCGCGCGGCCAGACUGCCAGAGCAUCUGCUUCCCCCAACGACGUCCUGACCGGACCUCUCGCGAGCCGCGGCACCGGCGGUGGAAGGGAUACGGAGACCCACACUCUUGUUCCGAUGAUGUGUCCUUGCGGCGGCGAGGCCGAGGCUCACUGCCCGACGGAACGGCCUUCUCAUCCUACUGCUCGUUGCGUGGCAGCGGGCUUAACAGCGCAGAGAACGGCGGCCGCCGGAACGUGGCGUGGAGGUGCAAGACGAUGUUAACUGUAAAACGGUGCCGAUGAACAUGAGAAUUUCUGCAAUCCCAAGGACAGACCACCAUAAACUGAAGAUUUGCUUGAUUCUGAUUUGCAGACUGCAAAGACACGCCGCAGCAACAGGCAUUCUGCAAGCGUGGCUACGAGUGACAACCCAGUGUUUAGCUAUCCCCUCUUAUCACUCUGCGGAUUUGUGCAGACAUAUGGCGAUACUGCACCUAGCGUCAAAACUCAGAACAGAACCCACAUGAAAAAUGAAGGAGCAGCAAAAAUGGCGGCGGGAACAUAACGAUGUACAGCUGCAGAGGCAUUUUGCUGACUGCUUUACACAGCCGAUGCUUUCAUGAAAAAGAUUUGCACAGAUCGUUUUGCAGUUGACAGUUGAAACCAAUGAUCAAGUCUGUGUAUCAGGCUAUCUGGGACCAAAGGGUCCAUCUCCAUCACCACAACCAACAGCUCUAUCUGGCAACGGUCUCCAAGCAUAAUAGCUCGAGAAUUUGACACGGGCGAGUCAUGGUUCAGCUCCAAACAGAAGCACCAGCGAGUCAGCAACAGGAGCAGGAAGGGACAGUUGGGAUACACCACAAAAGAAGAAAAGCCGUCAGCACAAAAGGCGCCAUGCAUUGCCUCGUUUCUAAAAUCUUUUCUUUGCAGCUGCUUAGUGCCAUUUAGCUGUAUCUUUCCCGUCCUUAUAUUUUUUGAUGAAAAAUGCGUAUCACGUUGCCGAUCAAUAAUUCAAAACCAAAGCAGAGGACAAUUAUGAAAACCAAACAUCCACCUGGCAGGAGACAACAGGACGAGGCGAAACGGCCUAUUGGAAAGAAGCUCUAAUCUUUUUUGUGUGCAGCUUCUUUUUCUCUACAUCUCAACAAAAAUAGUCAUCCGCGAAGUAAAAGCACGUUUCCUGAGGAUUUGUGAUGUUUGAUCUACUGGGAUGCUUUAGUUAUUAUGGAAAAAAAAGAUUAGUAGAAAGUAGAGCAAUGAGAACCAUGGUUCUGAAUAUUUUGCAAGCAAAACUGGACAGGAUGCAACUGCUUCAGAGUUUCCAUUGCCACACCACACACACGCCGUGGCCUCAAGCUUGUCCUUUCCGGUGUCAACCAGGUGGCUUAAUAAUGGAGCGACAGUCGAGUUUAACUAGUGCUUGAUCACACACUUUUAGCGCUUGAUCACAAACCACCAAAAGGAGCCAACCAACUGCAAAACGGCAAAUCACAAGUUCCAACACACCAAAGCCGUAUCAACAAACGUCCAAAAAGAAACCAUUAUUGUUAGUUCCUCCUCAAUUCACCUCCCCGAUGAACAAAACAAACCACUACUCCAUCAGUCGGGACCUCAUCCAUCAGAUCGGCGGGCAUGCAAUGCCGGGGAUGCAAUCCAUGGUCAGAUUCACCACAAGAUUAGAGCAAUCUCGGGAGCUUCCGGUUCCUGCAAUGGCAAGAACAACCUGAUGAACUGGAUCGGAUGACCCCAGAUCCACCAGCAAACAUGGCAUUCGGAUUGCAGAGCACCAUGCCAUCCAUCAGUAAAGCAACAUGACAAUAGCAGAGAGCAAGAACAAUUACGGCAAUGGCGCAAUGCACGGAUGCAACAUUUGGAACUCCAAAUACCAUUUAUAUUACGAUUACAUUGCUACUACAUGCCCUGACAGAUUUACAUAAGACCACCCGUCAUCAUCAUCGCCACCGCCCCAGCCGGCUGCCGGCGGGAGACCUCGACGGCCGACCCAAAAUGGGCAUUCUUCCCCCAUCAUCCGCCGGACGCCGCAGGCAAGCACGACUUUUUCUUGGGCCACGGCCAUGAGCGCCAUCACGGACGCCGCACCGGCCGGGACAGGUAGACCCGGCAUUGGAUAAGCGUCCGGCCGACCCUGAACCCCGGCAGCACGGUGAACCCGACCACGCGGUCGUCUGCGGCCACGGCGGCGUCGUCGGCGCGCCCGUCGCUGACGCUCUCCAUGUACACCUCCGAGAACCGCGCCCCCGUGCGCACCUGGAAGAUGGAGGCGCCGUCCUCCUCGGCGCCGCCGUCGAACGCGAAGAAGAGGCAGUGCAGCAGCCACACGCGGCGGGCCAUCUCGGCGAACUCCGCGAACCACGAGCUCUCCGGGAACCCCGGCCCGGCGCUGACGAUGCCGCGCUGCUCGAGGCGGCCGAAGAAGGCCGUCUCCAUCCGCGCGUGCACCAGCGACAGGUACUUUGCGCGCAGGAACUUGCCGAACCCUCCCCACCGCGGGUUCCUGACAUCCAGGAAGGCGCUCGCCGGCUCCGCCUUCAGCUCCGUGAACUCCUCGAAGAACCGCCGCCGGUCGUAGAACUCCCGCUCAUCCAGGAAGCUGAAGUUGAAGUCGCGGCGGUGGAAAUUGGCGAACAUCUUCAUGGCGACGUAGGAUUCGAAGACGAACUUGGUGUCGCCGGCGCGGCGCAGCGGGACGCCCGGGUGGACGGCGACCGCCGCCGCCGCGAGAUCCCACCCGGCGGACUGCAUCGAGUUGAGCAUCGACUUGGAGAAGGAGCGGAUCGACUUGACGGUGUGGCGGAGCGCGGUGAGGAAGUGCGUCGGGUUGAGGCCGGAGAGGUGGAGGUCGUCGAGCGACGCGAGGGUCCGGCCUGGGUGGAGCCGCGCCUCCAGGGCGCGCUCGGCGCGGAGCUCGGCGGUGAGGGAGCUCCUGAUGCGCUCGGCCUCGGCGUCCUUGGCGCGGAGCUCCGACUCCAGCUUCCGCGCCGUGAUCUGAUACGUCUUGAGGAGGUGGCGCUGCUCCUCGGCGUGGGCGGCAAGGGUGGUGUGGCCCGCCGCCGCCGCACCCCGGGCCGCGGCGGCCGGGUCCCUGAGGUACCUGCGCUUGGUGUCGGACAGCCUGGUGAGCUCGGCGACGACGGCCGCGUCCGCGGACUGGAUCGCCUCCGCGUCGUAGGGGAACUGCGCGAGCUGCAGCUGCGCGUACGCCGCCUUCACCGCCGAGACCCCCGCGAAGAGGGUCGCGAGGAGGGAAUCCGCGGCGGCCUCCGGCGUCACCUCGCCCGGCGCCGGCCGCCCCACUCCCCCUCCCCCUCCCGCAGCCGCGGACGCCUUCUUCUCGGCCGCGUUGCGGAAGAAGGCGUCGAAGGAGUAGGCCGCGGCGAGGUUCCCCGACAGCUUGAGCUUGCUGAGGGACGGCACCACAGGCGGCUCCGUCCGCUCCUCCUCGUAGUCGCCGGCCCCGACCACGGACGCCGGCGCCUCGGGGACGCCCUGCGCCGCCGCGUCGGCGCGCUUCCGGCGGAGAAGCUUGGUGAAGGUGCGCGCCAGGUUGGCCGCCUUCUGCUGGUGGUGGUGGUGGUGCGGAGCCGCCACUUGCGCCUCCAUUGGAGCCGGGUUGCGCUCUCACCGCCGGCUCCCCUCCUUCUCCAGCCUCCUCUCCCUCUUGUGGCGUCCGUCCGGGUCUGGGGCUCUGUGGGUGGGGGAAAACGCGGGGUGGGAUUAAUUUUUCCAGGAAUAUUUGGGGGUUACUGUAAAGUAAAAGGGCCUGCAGCAGCAGCAGGGCAGGGCUGCGCCUGCGCCUACGCCUACGAGUACUGUGUGUGCGCGUGCCUGCGUGGUUCGCCUACCGAUGGAUGCAGACGGUGGUGAGUUUAAUUUGUGGAAACCUGGAGGGGCAAGCGAGCAAAGUUUCUGAAGCACGGCACCACGCGAGAAUGGGACGGUUUUCUAGAGAAUUCUUGUAGAUACAUCAUAGGAUUUUUAUUGCCAUCUUAUGGUUAUACCAUUAAUGAGACCAUAGCUAUUUGCGAUUUUAUUGGCAUUAAAACCUCAUCAAUUACUUAUUAUUUUUUAUCUAUGAAACCAUAUACAUCUAUUCAAAAACUUGCAAUGCAGUUAACUACACAUAGCUUGAGCUUUCAGCACAAAUUAGCACUACAACAAUACAGAGAUAUUUCCUUAUCUACAUGUAAAACCUAUACAUAGCGUAUGCAUGUGUCGUGACGGGCAAAUGAUUGUUGGAUAACUACGGUAACUGGUACCAUAUCAUCAAUAACGUAACGUCUCAUCUCACCUUGUCUAGUAGAGUUUGAAGUUGCCCUUGUAUCGCCCAACAGAAACCUUGUCUCGCCCAAUAGAAAUUGAAGUUGGCAUGGUGGCUACUACCGACAACGUAACGUAUGAGCUAGAGAGAAGCAGGAGGGGCAAUUUGACGGUUACAAACAACUAUCGUGUCUUUGUCCGUGCCUGGUAGCAUCAAGAGAAGCAUGGCAGCGCUUGUUUAUGUCAUCCGUAUCGCAACAGCUUUCCUUGUUCAAUAAGGUUUGCACUCGACACGGGGGAGAUGCUACCGACAAAGCCAAUGCAUGAGCUACCGACAACGGCUUUCCUCGCCCAAUAAAAUUUGUACUUGGCACGGGAGGUUUCAAGCGGGAGGAUCGACAAUUCUUUAAAACUGACACAAGGAUUGAUCGUUAAAUUUAAAAAAAAAGAUUAUUCCAUAUAACACUUAAGAUCGACUAUUGUACCGUGUUACUAUUGUACCGUGUUACUAUCAGGGUGGGUGGAACUCUAUCUAACGUGUACCCUCAACUUAUUACAGCAACCUGAUUUUAAUUCUAAACACCAGAAACAUUUUAAUCCUUUUUUGGAUAGAAAACAUUUUAAAUCUAUAAGGAAAAGGGGCUGCAUGUGCAUCCAUAGGAAGGAACGGAUGAAAACGGCUGCGAGCGAGUUAAAAGGCAUUCAAGACGGAUAAAAUCCGGUAAGCUCCAACUUUGACGCCCCAGGGGUGGUUUGCAUCCAGCCACAAGCGCUGCUGAUACAUACCAAAAACAAAAGAGAUGGCGUUAUCCCUGUGCGUGCAGCGCAAUAAAUCCGCUGCGCCCGCGUACCACUCCAUUGACCCUGCCUGCUUCCCCUCUCACCCAACCCACCGUGCGCGCGGCCCCGAUCGGGAGAAAUUCCAUCGGCCAUCACCGUUUCACCGCACACUUUCUCCCCCGACUCGACCCUCGUGGCCUCGUCCCUGUCCCUGUCAGUGACUCGGCGGUGACACGGCCAGGAGCCGGCCGGAACAGGCAGGCCACAUCGACGCAGGUCAGGCCGGCCUCGCCGGAAACCGCAGGGAGUGAAGUUGGUGGCGAGCUUUCGCCCGUGCGUGCAGUGCUCGCCAGGGCAUGGACACGAUGCGCUGCGCGACACCGGCAACCAAACCAAACCCAGAUGAGGCAUGGUACGACUGCUCCACAUGCAGAAAAACGAGGGCGAGAGAACGACGGCGCGCGCGCGGCUCGCGGCUUGACGGUCUUCAGCGCUCACACACAGACACAUGGGGGCAAUGCCAGGGGGCCUGAUAAUAAAGGAGGGAGCUUUCCGUUGAUAGCAACAGUUUGCUUUGGAGUUUUGCCACUGAACAUAUCAUCAACAUCCGUGAGACGAGGAGGUUGCUGGUAUGGUUAGGUCUGCUCCAGCCAGGGAUUAGGAUUUCGUUUUUCGAAUUCUUUCAGUCCACAUUGAAAAGACCGAAUUUUGCAAAAUUUUAGCCAAAAUUUGAACUAAAAAUUUUGGGCAAAUCGUAAUUUCGGUCACCACCGAAAAAACCGAAAAUUUGAACACCGGCUCCAGCCAAAAACUAUAAAAAUAAUGAAAAUCUUUGUUGUACUACUAUACCGAGUUGGUAGAGUUUCGUGUUUGACCCAUUUUUGGUGAUUAUUUAAAUACUAACAUAAAUUGCUAUCAGAAACAAAAUAGGCAGGUGAGAUUGUGCGAAAUCAAUCAAUGGGGGUCGAGAUCAAGCAACCCUAGAGGACCCCGGGAGUCCAUGUCCCUCGACUGUCCACGGGGUCCUUUGCAUUGCACCUAGUUUAUUCGCUUCAAUGUUGUUCCCUCAACUUGUUGGCAAACUAAACUACGUGCACGUAUCUGACAAUGUCCUGUUCUAGCGUCUUAACCCCUAGUUUAUUUAUAACCCCGGAAUCCGAGGAUAAGCUCGUACGCGGCCAUAGAUUAUCUCUCCCGGACGAGCCAACCUAUCUAUCUGUUGUAACUGCCACUAUGUCCACACCUCUAUCGUUCUCUACGGACAGACAGUAUCAAAAAUUAGACCAACACCGUGUCAAAAAAAAAAACGCCUGGGGGAGGAAGUUGGCAUGUGCGCGUCAAAUGGCACGUUGUGAUGGCUACGCCCAACGCCACGGAAAAGGGUGGGGAUUUAACAGCGCACUGCGGGGUUCGGUCGCGCUGUAGCACUAAUCACUUGCUUUAUGUUUGUAAUGAUUUCCACCACUCACACUUAGUGGUGGUACAAACUCACUAGUAAGACUGACACCCUCUUUUGUCGAUCGAUUGUGCGUGCGUAGUAGGUGAAAGAUGUCACGUGCCUGGGCCGAUAUCUCGGCCAAGAGAGAAUUUAGGACGGCCGCGUGGCUUUGGAAACAUGGGACUGCUGGUGAAACUCUCAGAAAAGGGGAAACGCCUGACAGAGACGGUCUCUCUCACGGUCAUGGCACGAACGCACAUUCCCCCUCGAAGAAAAGGGAAAAUGGAAACACACGCCGAAUUGCUUGCCACUUGCAAGGGCGAGAACGUGCUACUGUAGGGGGCUUCGGUGAAAGUUGUGCAGUGCAGAUGGAGAUAAAGAAAUCCCGAAUGGUACAAAAAGGAUACCCCUAGACUACGGGCUAAUAGCACUGUUAUUCCCCAGAAGACCGGCAGCGGUCACGUGCGAGCUUUCUUCUCCUCCAUCCGAAGCACCACCGCACAACACAAGAAGUGACCGUGGUAACUUUUACUUUACCCAAGGUGAAUCGGUAAAUAAAGAAUGUAAAACUGGAACAGGCCAGGUUAAUCCCGGCCAAUCAGUAGUGUUGCCUGCUUAAGCUUAGCAGUCGUAAUAAUUAAGUACAGUACCCUGCAUGCUGUAGAUCACGGCUGCGCUGCGCACGAGCCGCGGAAGUACGCCAGUACUGGAAGGGAAGACGACAGAUACUGUUGCGGGUGUACAGGUAUCUGGAGACUGGAGCACCCUCCCUGAUGCCCUGGGGCUACUACUUGCUCUUGGUGACAUGGCAGCGUGAUGCGGCGGCACAUGGAGGGGAAUGAUGCGCGUCGGGCUGGCGACACGAUCGGGUUUAAACCAACGCCAGUGAUCAGCGGCCGGGGUCGCCACGGAUUCGAUCCUGACCAACCAGAACGCGGGGAUCGCAUGCUAACACUGCAAAGCAGUGGCAAAACCUGAAGAAGGCUUUUUUACUAGUGGUGCUACAAGUCCUUUGACAGCGGUCGAAGAGCAUGCAUGGUCAAUACGUACUGUAUGGUGGUAAUUGUCUCUGUGGGGUUGGGGAGUGGGGACCACGGAGACAAAGGUCCACAGGAGGAGAAGCGGUGCGCGCACUGCAGGCAUUCUGCAGGGCUCGCGUCAAUUAAAGACUUGAUUAGCGGCAGUAACAAUCGUGCCCUCCCCUGCAAAUGCUCUGCCCUGCGAAUGGCCCCGGAGCGCGCGCAUCACAACUGGCGCCCACUAGCGGCAGCAAGUCGUGUAGACCAGAGAAGAGAAGAGAACGCUACCGACACCCUCCGGAUAGGGUCUGUACAGUCUACCGCGCGCGUAGAAACCAAACUCGGACCACGUACGCGUGCACUGUAGCGGCAGUGCAGGUUAAUCUCCUGACGGGCUUUGUGUGGCUGGAGCGUGGGCCCCACGAACUAUGUCUCCGCGACGUAGCUCUUGCAUAGCUGAAAAAAGAAAAACGCCCCGCGAGCGAAGUCCAUGUUUGUUUUCGCAGCGAAACUACACUCCGGCUCCUCUCUCUGUCUCUCUGGUCGACACUCGACAGCGACGUUUCGUUUCCUUGCCCCGUGCCAAGGAUUCCGCCGCAAUUCUUCGGCCCCUCGCGCGUGUGAUGUGGAUCCUUCUCAGAGAAAUCCAGCCGUGGUGACCUCGCGCUCCACAAGCUCUAGUAGUACAUUUUGAAAAAACAGAGGAAAUGUGGACAAAGGAAGCCCGAAAUCGUACUCUCCCGGGCGCCCUUCUUUUUUCAUUCGUCCCCAGGACCCGAACAAGACACGUGCUGCUACGCUGUAGUAACUCGGUUACCGUCAGCAACGGAAUUUAUUUACGAAGCCCAAAGAGCGAGAGGGUGUACCGUGUACGUGGUGUGGAUUCAGCAAACGCAAAGAUUCAGAAAUUAAGCACCGAGCGAAAGAAAGAUCAUCCGGCGAAACGUAAUGACGAGCGAUGGGAAGCGAAGCGGAUCAAAGUACUCACCAGCAGAUCAGCUGAUCAAUCGGAGAAGAAACAGCAACUUGAUCCAGCUCGUCUCCUCCUGUCUCCUCGAAGCUGAAGCUGAUUCGGCUCCCAAGCAAGCGAAAAGCAAACCCUUCCUUCCUUCGCUCGCGGCUCCAGCAGCGUCGAACCUGGGGAACGCGCGAAUGGUCGGUCGGCACUCGGCAGGCGCCCCUCCUCCUCCUCCUCUUCCUCUUCCUCUUGAGGUGGUCGGCACCGCCCGCCACCCGUCCCGGCCCCUCCCGACGCCGACCUGCCGCCGUCCCACCCGGGCCAGCAGGAGGACGAAGCCGAGGCGAAGCAACACGCCGACCCGUCCGCGAUGGGAUUGGCCGCCGAUCAAACGUUUUCUAAGGAGUUGAGUAUUUUUCCAUCCGUGCCCCACUAUUUAUUCCGGUCCAGGCCCAGCCCCCAGGCCCGGGAGGUUCAUUUCAGAUUCAUCGAAAUUGCGUGCCCACGUCCACGUGUGCUAGCUAGCUACCGAAAAUGCCCUCCCCACCACGCGUUCCAGACCCAGCCCUAUCCGAUACGACCACGUGGCGGAUCGACGUCGCUCUCCCCGUCAGAUUUUGGGCACCGCAGCGAUUGCUGAUUUCGUCCCGGUAUUUAUUAAACGAUACUGGCCUAGUAUCAAACACCCUUAAAGCUAUGAAACUCCCAAUCGAUACUGGCCCAAUACAUCCUAACUUUUUUUGUGCGUGUGCGUGGAAAGCUUUGCAAUUAAUAAAUUGCAAUUGAGCGUCUCACCUCACCAGUCGCUUCGAAGAUGGGCGGUACUGAACUACUGGCCGGCUGCAUGCUGGCCCCACUGGACCAAAUAAUCUGCGUGGUGUGUGCAGACAUGCGGAAAAAUAAUCCUCCACGUCCACAUGUGCUGAGUGUAUUGAAUGCGGGGGAAAAGUAAUGAUACGUACGUAUUUGCGUCCGAUGCAAGGGUUCAGAGGAAAUACCACUAGUAGUAGUAGGAUGCACGGAUUAGUGGCCCUAUUGGACCAAACUUUUGUCGAGCAGUACGCGUCCUCCAUUCCCCUUCGUGCUCCUGAUAUUCUUUCCUGCUCUUUUUUAUUUUUUCCACCCAUCUUUUUUUUCCUGUUUAGACCAGUGUUGUGUCAACAUGCACUUUCUGCUCUUUUCAACUAUUAUUAUCAAAACAUGUCAUUUUGGUUUUUUCCAUGUGCACCGACGUCAAGUAAAAAAAAAAGCAGUCCUCCCACCGCGGGGUAGAUCGGGCAACCCGGUCUGGCUUCUGCUCCACGGCCUAACCAGGCAGAUCUGUCGGGUAGUGGCGCCGCGCGUGGGUAAAGGGGUAAAAGCCACGCGGUAACGGCCGGUGUGGCAGGUGGUGAAUCACUGAACCUGUGAAUCAGAGUCACCGAUGCAAAAUUUUACCGUUCACGAAUCACCAUCCACCUGCACGGCUGCACCCACCGGAAGUACGACCGAGACUGACCCACCGGCGUCAGCGGUCCACCCUGUCAGACCCGAUAAGAUUAGCGUGCUAGUUACCGAUACCUAAUAAGUAUAGCAGUGGUGAAUCUUUUUUCUUCUUCGUAGCAGUACUAAUCGACGAGUUUGGAUUUGAACCGACACGCCGCGACUGACUCAGGGUUCAUCUCAUUCCAUCUGUUUCCUUCUUGUUAAUUCUCUCCGUAUAUUCCUGCAUUACUCCAUUGCUUAUUUUAUCCCAUUACUUAUUUUCUUACUUAUUUUGUCGGCCAACGCAACAGCGACGUCCUUCUCAGCGCGGCCGCGUGUGCUGGUUUCCACGGAAAGAUUUUAAUCGAUUUCUCCACGAUUCUCGGCCGUGUCUCACCUAACUUUUGUUGGGAUUCGCCGGCCGGCCGCUUGCAGGAGACACGGCUAAGCUACUGAAGAGACGGUGAACAGCGCCGGCGACGGCGAUGCGCGUGAAGACAGACGGGGACGGGCGCCGUAUCCUCUCCGGUGGCUUUUUGCGUCGCCGCGUUGCUUUCCUGCGUUGUCACGUCGCGCCCGGCAUUCCCGGAAUCCAUCCAUCGACAUCGAAUCCGGCCCAGCACGUCUACACUUGUCCAGCUAGAUCUUUUUCCUGUACACUGUACAGUAUCUUGGAUACUCCCUCCGGUCGGAUAUAUUUGACGUUUCGACCAGAUGCGCUAGUUCAAUUUACGAAGGCUGUUUUGGUCUGAACGUCAAAUAUAUGUGACCGGAGGUAGUACCCAUCCACAAAUCAGAACAUGUUUUUCUUUUUCCCUUUUGUGUUUGAGCCUGGUCUUUCCCUAGCUUCUUAGCAAUUGCAAGUUGCAAUGCUUAUCAUUGAUUGGUCUGAGCACUGAGAUGUCUCCCUCCUCUUGCUUGCAUUGGCAUGCACGGUUUCGUGUUUACGACACACGCUUGUUGCACGGCUUUGGCAGCAGCGAGAGGCUUUAUAGUUUCCUCUUUAGUUUCGUUCAUGCGCGCGACAUCCCCACGCGUGCAGUGCAGGCUGCAGGGUGCUUCUUCGCUGCUUUAUUUGCAUGGUGACGAGAGCUCAGAGAGCUCGGCCAUCAUCGGUCAUGUGCAUGGCUCUGCACUACUGCGACGAGUGUCCGUCCAGUAGUUGCCAGUUUGGACACACACCACCUUUGGGCUUUGGAUACGAAUACGAUGCAGGAGCACGAGCAGCUGCAGGCAGCACUGUACUUGCAUGCCCCCAUGUCUCUUUCCACACGAGCAACGCAAACAUUAUUGUCGCAGGCGCCUUCAAAAGAAUCGAAAGGCAUCGCAUGCACAUCAAUGGAUCAUCAGCGCACCAUUGACGCGGGAGCUUGCAUGCAUAUCCACAUUCUACUGCCAGGCGAUCGAUCGGCUAAUAAUAUGAUGUGUGUUGUCAGAAUGUGUGAAAUCUCGCAGCAGCUACAAGCAUCAAGCUAUUAGUUAUUCUAGCUAAAUUGUAGAUCGUUUUGAAUUUUCUAAGUUCAUAGAUAUUAUUAUGCACCUAGAUAAAAGUAAAAAUAAUCUACAUUAAUCAACAUUAACGGAGGGAGUAUAUCUUUAGGUCGUCUCUAGCUAGACUCUAUAGACUCUAGCUUCUGUAAUUUUCUUUUUGUUAGGAGGAUAUAUAGGUCCGUAGAAUACAGGUUACAGGACAUAUUCCCAUUCACCUACCUACCAAGCUUUGGCUUUGUAGCCAAUCAAGCCUAAAGCCGUGGCGAGACGGAGAUAACGAAAAGGAAGACAGACCCCACCCCUCCAGCAUGAUGAGAUGACAGGGCAGGACCCAGGUGAACCAAGGCUAGUGCAUCUGAGAAUAUGAUCUCAAAGCUAGCCACCGUGGGACCAGAGAGGCCAGUGUGUGCAUGCAAAUGCAAUGCAUGGUACUUUGCCCUUUAGAUGACCGUCGCGUGGGCCCUCGAUAGCUCACACUGCCUUCGAGCUAUCAUGCCCGGCUAUCUUUUAAGUGCUAUAAGGAUGUUCGGAUCCAUAGAUUAAUUUUUAAUUUGGUUUAUAUUGGAUGUUUGAUACCAAUUAGAAGAACUAAAUGUAAACUAAUUAUAAAACUAAUUGCAUAAAUGAGAAGCUAAUCAUGAACUAAUUAGGCUUAAUAGAUUUGUAUCGCGAAUUAGCUCUCAUUUAUGCAAUUAGUUGUAUCAUUAGACUAUAUUUAAUACUUCUAAUUAGUGUGCAAACAUUCGAUAUGAUAGGGACUAAAGUUUAGUCUGGUUAUCCAGACACUUCCCCUAGAACAUGUAGUACGCCGAAAGAAGAGUACGACUAGCCGGGAAUAAAACUGAUCGAUCGGGAAUCCAGUCAUCAUUCCCUGCAUGGCUUUUUCAGUUUUUCCAUGUGAUCGAGCUACUAGCCUACCAAUGCAUAUAUAGGUUCACUCACUCAUUUCGCUCCCCAUUCAUCACGACCUCUCGCUCACCCGCGGUGGCUACGCUUCGCUUGGCUUUCCGUGCAAGUUUCCCGGCCGGCAGCGGAGCUCAUGCAUGAUCGUUCUGGUUUUGGAAUGCGAGAAACAAGAUCAUAAUUUCCCAAAAGAAACGAAGAUCAUGUAGUGAUGAUCGAGCCGUGGUUGUAGUAGAUUAAGCAACGUCGUAGUAGUACGAGAACAAAAGAGAUGGCGCGCCUAACGUGUCAUGGUGAUGAUGAGCUCUAAUUGCGAUCCAAGGACUCGUACAAGUUUGGGCUAGCUGGUAAUGAGUGUCAAGCUAGGAGAUCAUAACAGGGCACGUAUGUACGUACGUGGCUCAUGAUUCAUCAUACGAACACGCAUGUAUUCAGCUCAGUAGUCAAUCGUGUCGGAUGCACUACUAGCAACUAAACAGCUGGUUGCUCUUUCCCUCUCUUCGAUUUCCUUGAGGAGAAAAACGGCAUUAUUAGGACCUUAAAAGAUCGUGGAGCAAAGUCAGCAUCAAGAUUUAAAGACGAGUCAUGAUCCACAUAUAUAUGGUGCACUUUUAAUUAACCAAUACGGAUUAAAGGCGAGAGCGAACUCGACUUGUGCAAACCUACAACUACAAGCCACAAACUACAUAAUAAACUGACAGAAUGCUUGAGAAAUUAGAAUUAUGGUGGAGCUUACAAUGAAACCUAUGCAUCAUUAGUAAACGGCCAAAAAAAAAUCAUUUUUAUGAACCAUGAUCAUCAUGCGUGGCCCCAUUAGUUUAGUAAGCAGCAGGGGUUUGCGCCGCCAGCUGCAGAUUAUCAGUCGGUCGGGUGGUGGAUGACAUCAUGAUCCAUCGAUGACGGCCGGCCCGGGCGCUAAUUUGCUGGUGUACGUAUUAGCCAGGCAGGAUUAUUGAUUGGCCUAUAUCCUUUGACUGCACGGUACGUGAUCUGAUGCUGAAGUGAAGUGCUUAAUUUUAACAUAUUUGGCUAUUUUGGUUGUGGCUUCUCCAGUGGAGCAGCUUUUUUUUUGCUCGUCAUCCACGCUGGCGCCAAGCUACAAUGUCUCGGCGCCAGCCAUCCUGGUGCCAAGGUUGAUGCGCAGCUGCUGACGCGGGUGCCGAUGUGGCGGGGGCUUGGCGCCAUCCAUCAUGGCGCCAAGUUUGGCGCCUUAGAUCUUGGCACCGAGCUAUCUACCCCGUACCCCUUCGCGGUUCGAACUAGCUAUCCUAAUUAUUCCAAGGUCGCACGGGGAGGAUGAGUUCUAGUUCAACUGAGUAUCUAGCUUGUCGGCACUGGCCACUACGGCGCAGCUUGGUGCCAAGAUCCACGGCGCCAAGGCUUGGCGCCAUGAUGGAUGGCGCCAAGCCCCCGCCACGUCGGCAUCCACGUCAGCAGCUGUGUAUGGACCUUGGCGCCAGGGUGGCUAGCGCCGAGACGUGUAAGCUUGGCGUCAGCGUGGAUGGCGCCAAGCUAAGGGUCCAUUUUUGGAAUUGGUUCCGCCAGGAGCGUAUUUGUGAGAAUCUUUCGCAAAAAGGGCUAAAAAACAAAAAAGUCGGCCGGCUUGUCUGGUUGAAAAAAGUUUGGUAAAACGACUUCUCCAAACGGAUAGAAAGGUGAAAUGUCCAUAAUACCCCUGUUCCCCAUUUUUUCUCUCUUUUCUUCUUUUAUUUUCUUUUUUCCCUUUUCCCUUCCUAUUUUUCUCUCUCUCCUUUAUUUCCCAUCUUUCUUAUCCAUUUUUUCCCUUUUCCUUGUCCGUCGCUGCCCAGCCCCAGCCUCCCGCCGCCCCCGCCGUCACCCCCCACCUCGCCCGUCGCUGGCCAGCCCUAGCCUCCCGCCGCCCCGCCCCAUCCUUCUGCUGGCUCUGUUGGCUGCCCGACUUCCGCGCCUGUCGGCCAUCGCGACCGCCUCUAGUCCUCGCACCCGUCGGUCGGCGCCGGCUAUCUUCAUCCUCGACCCCUGCUGCAGGCCACCUCCGCCGGCCUCCGGUCGUGGUCGGCUGCUUAGCGCUGCUUGCUGCAGCCUCCGCCUGCCCGCGGGCCCUCCACCGAGGGCAACGAUGGGAAAUGAGUAGGAGCCGCGGGGAGCUGGUUUUUUAGGCUCCUCCUCCCUCUUUUGGCUCCUCUCGGCGCAAAAUGCGGGGCUCCGAUAAUGAAGCUGUUUCACAUCCUCCCGUUUAGCAGGGUUUCAGAAGAAAUCGGUAGAGGAGCCGCUCAAGAAGUCCUGCAAAAGGGAACCUCAACAUGUCACGCCACGCAGCAACCACCAACAACCGAUCGAUCACCAUCAUGAUUAAGUCGUUGCGAAAUGAAUAAUGAUGUACAAUAUGAUAUGAUACAAUGCAUGCAAAGGGAAGGAGUUUGCAGUUUUGUCACAUUUGGUGUCGUCCUUAUUGGCUAGCUGCUUGUCAUGAAGGCAGGACUGGAUAGUGAUUGGUUUGGCCCUUUUGCUGGACGUAGUUGCGUCAUCUAUGAUAUAUCCUUCGCUUAUAUUUUUCUUGUUCGGUAAAGGAGUUGAUGACGGGUCUGCUGACACCGGGAAAUCAUUUCAAAAGAUUCAGACCAUUCAGGUUUAGCCUGAAAAUACACUAGGUCACUAGCAAUGUAUUUUUUUUUUGGAAUCAACGGCCGGCUGAACAUUUUCAUUCCAGAAGGAGUUUUACAAGAUCAGGCACCCGCUCCCGAGUGAUCAGGGUACAAACAGAAGGGGAAAGGGAGCCACAAGGGAUUACAUCGCAGCGCAUAUACAACCAGAAGGAUACAAACAAUACUGACAGCAAGAGCAAAGAAAGAGAAGAUUACAUGCCGUCGCCGCACAAAAGAGCAGGUGCAAAAUAAAUAACCUGUUCGGUUGGACUUAUAAGCCGGCGGAAAAGCUGAAAUGGCUGAUUUGUUGUGAGAGAAAAACACUAUUUGGUGGCUGAUAAGCUGAAGCGAACAGAGAAAAAUCGUCGGCGGACACAACUACAAUGUAAACCUGCACAAGAAGACGAAAGGACGAAAUGUUGGAUCUUUAAAAGUGGCUCGGGAGCAUGUAAUUUUAUCGGGGGGAGGACGGAGGAACACGCUGCCACGGCAGCAACGACGACGGGCGGGGGAAGCCGGGGACGGUGCGCCCCCCGGGUGUACAGAGCUAUCACCUCCUGAGUCGCCCCUCGGGAGCGCUCAGGAAAAUUGAUUUUCGUGUCCAAAUGAUGCCCCUUGUUCCACAGCAUUCAUCACUAGCAAUGUAUGAUCAUAUCCUACUAGAUCUGCUACAAGAACGGAACAACCUGAACAGCUUAGUACUGAAUUACGGUAGUCUGUAUUGUUCAUUUGGUCUAUUGGAGAUCGAAGCCACUUGGGCACACGCUGCACCGUCGUGGCGUCGUCGGGAGGAGGAAGAAGAAGCAUUCCCUCGCAUCUCGCGAUUCGAUCAGGCGUGGGGGCCCGGAUGCCAGGGAAUGCGAGCGGCGGCCUCCGCGCUUGUCGUCUACUUUUACGGCGCGCGCGCGCGUGGGGGCCCACGGUCUGACCCUCGUUGAGCCCGUGCUCCAUUCCAAUAUCGUGUGGGCCUGAGCCGUGCGUGGGGCCCCAGUCAGGUCCGGUAGCAUGUUAUACUUUUACAGUUGGUAGUUGGAGAUGGUAGUUAUUUUUUUUAGAUCCGGGGGCCGGGUAGAGUCCCGCCUGUCAGUGACGCGUCAAACACGGGUGGUAAAUAAGCUAAAAGUAAAUAUCAGUAUAUAUUUUUGAAAACAAAGUAUAGUAGUCGAACUUGUAGUAGCUACUGUCUACGUGAAUAGCUCAUUUGGUGAUGGCAUUUGAAACGACUUUAGUCACCUUGAUAAUGUGUCAGUAAUUCCUGUUAAGGGCCUGCAUUCUUUAAACUAACCAAAGCUGCCCAACUUUAGGAUGCCAAAAUUACUGUAGUAACACUGUAGCGUUUCGUUUGUAUUUGUGAAUUAUUGUCCAAAUGUUGACUAAUUAAAGGGGGUGUUUGGAUCCUAGAGAUAAAAUUUAGUCCGUGUCACAUCGGAUAUUCGGAUGCUAAUUAGAAGGACUAAACAUAAGCUAAUUAUAAAACUAGUUGUAGAACCCCUAGGCUAAAUCGCGAGAUGAAUCUAUUAAGCUUAAUUAAUCCAUCAUUAGCGAAUGUUUACUGUAGCAUCAUAUUGUCAAAUCAUGGACUAAUUAGACUUAAUAGAUUCGUCUCGCGAUUUAGCCUGGGGGUUGUGAAAUUAGUUUUGUAAUUAGCCUAUAUUUAAUACUCCUAAUUAGUGUCAAACAUUCGAUAUGACAGGGGUUAAAGUUUAGCACAUGGUAUCCAUACCACCCUACCUUGAGCAAGUGCGGUGAGUAGAAAGCCCUACUACCUCUGUGUGUCUUGUCAGUUGUAACGCCCGUAAAAAUACACCUAAUUAAAUCACUCGUUAAAAAUACUUUCCAAAAAUUUUCCGACCGCUGAGCUCCGUCAAACCCUUUUCCCUUCCGUCGGACCCGCCGUUCCGACCCCGGCUCGUCAACCCUCUUUUUCCGCUCCCCGUAAUUUUCGCCGCGUGCCCGUUCAAUCCAUCACGCGAGCCGUCUAAAUCCCGCAACUUUCGCUGAGCUGCCCCUCCCCUUUUUCCUCUCCUUUCCCUUGCUUUUUCCUUUUCUUCCUUUACUCCUUCUUCCUUCUCCUCUUCUUCUCCCUCUCCCUCCUUCCCUUCUCUCUCCCUCCUUUUCUUCUGGCGCAACUUCUCCUGGCGCCAUCCGCCUGGCGCUACGCGCCUGGCUCUUCCCGGCCAGCUCCUGCCGUCCGGCCCCACCGGGCGCCACGCGCCCGGCCGCGCCUCGGGACGCGCCACACGCCCGGCCGCGCUCGGCCGCGCCGCGCGCGCCAGGCCGCGUCGGCCGCGCCGCGGGCGCCGGGACGCGCCGCGCGCGCCGCGCGCGCCUGACCGCGCCGGCCGCGCCGACCGCGCCGAGCGCGCCAGUGCGCCGCACGCGCCAUCCUGCUCCGCUCCGCCCGAGCCAUCCCGUCGCCGCCCCUGUGCACCGCGCCAUCCGCCGGCCAACACGCCACCUCCCCGGCGCGCUUCCCCACGAGGUCGCCGCCCCCUGUGCGCCCUCGACGACCACGCCGCCACGCCAUCCACGAGCAAGCCCGCCCGAGCACGCCACCGGCCGGAAAGUCCCGGGCACCAUCAUUACCACCGGCCGCCCCCCCCUUGCCGGCCUAUAAAAGGGGCCACGCCCGGCCCUCCGCACCACCACCACCGCCGCUAGCUUGCCGCCGCCCCUCCCUUGCUUCCCCGUGCGCCCGCCGCCGCCGCUGCUAGUCGCCGCCGCCCCCUACUGGACCGGCGCCGGCGCCCCUUCUCCCACCGUCGCCGCCCACACCACCCUCUCCCUCCCCCACCACUCGGCCGCGCCGCCGGCAAGCAAGGCCGGCCAGCCCGCCGCCGGUCAACACCCCCCUCUUUCCCUGUUAUGGCCCAAGGAGGAAGAAGAGGAUAAAAUCCCUCCUCUCCCGAUCUAACCCUCAAGUUUUCCCCAUUCGCGAACAAGUCCUCCCACCAUUCCAAAAAUAAUUACAGAUAGGCCCCUGCUCUCGCGGUUUAGUCCUAAACCUCCUUUUAAAGCCCCUAAUACUCCUUUAACCCGUCAUUUCAUGCGCCAAAUUUCCUCCAAUUAAUCCCAAAUUCAACCACGGCCUCCUCUCACAUAUUUCUGCCGAGGCAUAUCAAAAUUCCAUGAAAAUACCCUUCCUACCUAUUUUCCGUUCAUAUUUCCUGUUCGGAGCUCAACGGGUAAAAACUUUUUCCCUCUUUAUUUAUUGUGUGCUCGUUUGUGUGUGCCGUAGAUCGCGGAGUACCCGAGGAGGAGCGCGAGGAGGAGUUCGACCGCGAGCCCGAGCCCGAGGACCAGUACCGCGAGCAGGAGCUCCCGGAAGGCUUUGAGAACGGCAAGUCCAAUCUCACCCUUUGAUGCAUAUUUAAUACCCAGUUUUUCAGACACAACCUAUUGGCCUGUUUUAUAAAAUGCAUAUCGUUUUAUCGCAAGACAUGGUUGGAUAGCCACCCCUUGAUUGUUAUGAUUAUUCCUUGUCGUCCCAUAUUUAUCUCUAAAUAUGAGUUGCUCUGUUUAGAUGAUAAAUACUGCUAGAAUGCUUAGGAACUCAUUAUCCAAAUGCAAUCAUGACUACACCUGUUUAUUCGGAAGAUAAAUGUGUGAGUAUGUUUAACUGAGGAGUUGGGUUUUCGGGUGUAAAGAGAGGUGGUGGAUGAGAUGGAUGGGCGUUUCUGGUGUGAGAUGCCGGGUUGUUGGGCUCGUACCUUAGUGGUUGAGCAGAGUGGGAGUUAUCCAUCUUGUCAUGGCUAAGGACCGAGUUGAUGUGUCAUCCUGCCUAAUUCCAUCAUCGUGCAACCACUCGACCGUUGUAUGGGCAACGACUUAGCAUAAACCCCACUAGCUAAACUGCUAGGCUUCAGGUGUGCUGGUGAGCAGCGGGAGCCCUUGGAAAAGGACUAAGCUCUUGGUGACUUAGGUCCCGGUUUCGGCCCCGUGGAUGGGUUGCUAACCCCUUGGGUGCUUCCGUGUUGACUAGUCAGUGUUGGCUAAGGUGGGUAAUGACUUUGUUAGGAUCCGUACCGUCACUAAGGUGAUCGCGAUACGGUACCCUACUUGUGGGAAAAGUGUACAACCUCUGCAGAGUUAAAACCUAUCCGGGUAGCCGUGUCCACGGCAUUGGACGAGUUACGGCUCGGUCACACAACUAGCUUUUGGGGAUGACUGGUAUUUAUUGUGUGUGUGGGUGUGUGGAAUUUUGGAAGUGUCCGGCAGUUGUGCCGUGCGCUACGGCGGACGGGGAGUCCGGUAGCGAUAAAACUUGGAUCCUUUGUGUAGGAUCAACCCCACUUGAUGUAUCGGUUACUAAAAUGUUUUCAUGAAACUUCUUUGAAAUGAAACCCUGCAUGUGUCUAAAAUUCAGCUUUACUGCAAAUAAACCACAGCUUUACCCUUGUUUAUUCAUAUGCAUAUUCCUGUUGUAUCCCCCUCCGUGGAUGGGGUUGGACUUGCUGAGUACCUUGUACUCACCCUUGUGUUGUUACUCCAGAGGAGGAUCCGGACUUCGUCGCCGAGGACUUCGAGUAGGAGGUUGCGUCUGCACCCAACGCUGCCUGCGGUGUUGGCCCUUUUGCAGGAUGCUUCCGCUGACGCAUAGUUCCGAUUGCAGACCGGAGUCCGACUGGACUGCAACUUGGAUUUGUAUUGUUAUCGCUUUAGUCUUGCUUUGGGUGUGGCUUGCCCGCCCGCUCCUUCGGGAGUUGUACGGUUUCUGAACUAUCUGUUGAAUAAAUGUGUUAUCAGCCUCCUGGGACUGAUAAUUGGAUCACAUUUAGUCUCUACUUAUAUGGGGACGCUUCAGGUGGUAUCAGAGCCGUCGUUGGCCGUAGGACGUAACCAUUAGAACCGGAAAAGCCAUUUUGACCAAAUCAAAUGAUUUACAAAAUUUCUUGCUACCCCUGCUCAUUUGCAAAACUGAUUUACACCCCGAUUCUUUCCAGAUGGCCGAAGAAGGUUGGACCAACAGCCACUGCCUGGAGGAGCCCGGUUUUCCCAGGUUGCUGUUCGCCUGUAUGGACCGCCUCGGGAUUUACGAGCGUCCGGAGUACUUCAACCGGGAGUAUGAAGACCGUGGAACUCUCCGGUGUGAGAUGACCAUCUUUGUGGGCAGGAGCAGCCGCUUCCCCGACAUUCAGCCUUGGAAUGUGUCUGCCACUGGUUUCCGGCGGAAAGACACUUACCAGGCGGCAGCUCGGAAAGCCCUGCGCUACCUGUGCCAAAUUUAUGAGAGGCACAUCGGACGCACACCGAUGAGGUUCUACCCGCCUGUCAAGAAGAACCGCCCGAUUUGGCUGGCCCGGGUGAGGACUUUGGAAGGACAUGGACAGCGCGAGGAUGACCCCACCGUGCUCCAUAUGGCUGCCUAUCUCCUCACUUUGGAUGAACUCUGCGAUGAGCAGGCCGCCCAUCUGAAGCAGCAGAUCCGCAGAGCCGAGGAUGCCGAGGUUAUGGUAAGGAGGCUCCAGGUGAGAUUGGCAGCACCUGAAGCCCGAGCCGCGGCCGCCCAAAGCAAUGAGGCCCUCACCAUCGAGGCCCUCAAAGAGGCCGAGGACCGGCACGCGCGGGCACUAAAGGAAGUCCACCACUCGAACCGCACGAGGAGGAAAAUGCGGAUCGUGGAGGAUGACGAGGCCCCAGUAUUAGAUGGAGUCCCUGUUGCCCAGGGGUCCGGAAAGUGGAAGAGCCCCGAUGCCCCAACAACACCACCGCCUUCGGAAAGGGAUUCUGAAGUGGCCAAUGGAGAAGCCUCGGAACCCCCUCCUGCAGGUGGGACCCUAAGAGACGAGGUGCUGGCCCUCCUUAUUCCGCCAGAAGACCACUCCGCGCAGUGUGCAGAUUCGUCCCGCGAGUAGAGUGCCCACCCAGAGUUUGCCGAAGGGAGUGGAGUCGUCAUGGUCCGUAGUCAAGAGUUGUACUCCAGAAGCUGUCCCGAGUCUAGAUUUGUACCCCCCCCAGUUGUGUUGUUGUACCGGUCGUGUAGCACGUGUUUUGACCCUACCCCAAGUGUUGUAACCGCCCCGGCAAGUUAAUAAAAUCAUUUGUGCUUGUUGUCUGUUAGUCUGUGUGCUUGUCGACAGGAGGUGGAUUCUGUCUCUUCGAAAAUUCGAAAUAAUUAACUAAACAUCACCUUAAUAUCCAAAUCCAAGUUUCAUGAAAGUUCACUCAUUCUGCAGAUGCCUCCCAAGCGUGCCACCAGGACCUCCCCGACUCAAGCACGUACCACUCCUAGUGCAGAAAGGCAGCAGGAAAAGGCAGGGACUCCCACCAGUAGUGCACCAUGAGGAGCAAGAGGUGAAUCAGCCCGAGGGUAGGGGAGAGAGUCAAGUGGGAGCACAGGAGCCACCGCCCCCACCGGUCAUUGAUUUGGUACAAGUCAUGAACAACCACACCCUUCUGCUGGAAGCCUUGGCCAAUGCCAUCACUCGCCAAAGGCCGCGCGGACAGGGUAUGAAUGAGAAACUGACAGACUUCCUCCGCACCAAGCCACCCACUUUUGGCGGGUCUAUCAACCCCCUGGACGCAGAUGACUGGCUGCGGGUCAUUCAGAGGAAGCUAGAGCCAUUCGGCUGUGAGAGCAGGGACAAGGUUCUCCUGGCUGCACACCAGCUCACUGGGACUGCUUUAGCCUGGUGGGAGAACUACUGCACAGCCGCCCAGGAUGCCUCCACUAUCACCUGGGAUGAGUUUGUGACAGAGUUCCGCCGCUAUCACAUUCCUGCGGCUACCAUGAAGCGCAAGGCGGAUGAAUUCCGUGAACUGCGCCAAGGCAACAAGUCCGUGGAAGAGUACACCUAUCAGUUCAUGGAGUUGGCUCGCUAUGCUCCAGAAGAAGUAGACAAGGAUGAGAAGAAGCAAGACAUGUUCAAGAAGGGCUUGAGCGCAGAACUGAGGACCCUGCUUACUCCUCAGAUCUACCCUGACUUCAACACCCUGAUGAACAUGGCCAUUCUGACUGAGAGAGCCAAGGCAGAUAAAAGGAGGGAUAACAAGCGCCGGUUCCUGGACAGCAAGGCCCACCAGCAGGACAGGUUCCAGAAACCAAAGAGCUUUGGUCACCCCAUACCCAGGUCCCAAGCUCCCAUGCAGUACCGGACCCAGUCUCAAGCCUCCGGUUCCCAUCAGACUAAUGCCCCAUUCAGAAGCUAGAACCCUGUCAAGGCCCCACAGAACAGCGCCAGUCAAGUCACCAACAACGGCAGGGCAUGCUUCAACUGCUGUGAGCCAGGGCACUUCAUUGCCAACUGCCCCACGCCAACAAGCCAGCUGCAUCAGCCUUCUCCAACGCAGUGACUGGGCCAAGGGCAGCAGUGUCAGGAGCCAACCGUGUUCCCGUCCGUAGCAGCAACCCCGGCAACAACAGCAACAGCCAGCAGAUGAGGCAGCCCCAACAGUCGUUUGGACGAGCUCGCGUCAACCACAUCAGCGCGCAAGAGGCUCAGGAAGCUCAGGGCGUUGUACUCGGUGAGUUUCUAGUCAGCUCAGUUUUGGCAACAGUACUCUUCGAUUCUGGAGCAUCACAUUUAUUUAUAUCAUCAAGCUUUGUGGAUAAGCACCACAUACCUACAGUACUACUAAAGGUACCCCUAAUAACCCAGACGCCUGGGGCCGACAUCCAGUGUCGACUAGGUUGUUCCCGGGUAAGGAUCAAUUUAAGUGGGGUAGAAUUCCUAGCAGAUUUGGUAGUACUUAAGUCUAAGGGAAUAGAUGUGAUCCUUGGAAUGGAUUGGCUAAGCCUACAUGAUGGACACAUAGGAUGUGCUGAUAAGGUUGUGCGCCUAAUUAACCAGGAUGGCGUGCAAGUGACCUGUCACACCCAGGGAAGUGGGUCCGACCCCAUGGUUUUUAGCAUGGAAGCCAAGGCCAUAGAAAGAGUUCCGGUAGUGAGUGAAUACCCGGAUGUUUUUCCUGAAGAACUACUUGGAAUGCCCCCGGACAGGGAUAUAGAGUUUGUGAUCGACCUUAUCCCUGGAACCUCCCCUAUAGCCAAGAGGCCCUAUAGAAUGGCAGCAUCUGAGUUAGCAGAGUUGAAGAAACAGUUAGGUGAACUACAGCAGAGUGGCUUUAUCAGACCUAGCUCAUCCCCGUGGGGAGCCCCAGUACUCUUCGUCAAGAACAAAGAUGGAAGCAUGAGGAUGUGCGUGGAUUAUCGCGCACUAAAUGAGGUCACCAUCAAGAAUAAAUACCCCCUUCCCAGAAUAGAUGACCUAUUUGACCAGUUAAAAGGAGCCAAGUAUUUCUCCAAAAUAGAUUUGAGAUCAGGGUACCACCAGCUCAAGAUUAAGGAAAGUGAUAUCCCGAAGACAGCUUUUGUUACCCGAUAUGGCCAGUUUGAAUUCACAGUGAUGUCCUUUGGGCUGACCAAUGCCCCUGCUUAUUUCAUGAAUCUCAUGAACAAGGUGUUUAUGGAGGAGUUAGACAAGUUUGUCGUGGUCUUUAUCGACGACAUACUUAUUUACUCCAAGAGUGUCCAAGAGCAUGAGCAGCAUCUGCGAGUAGUACUGGAGAAAUUGAGAGCCCACCGACUUUAUGCUAAAUUCAGUAAAUGUGAAUUUUGGCUAGAGAAGGUGGCAUUUCUUGGUCACAUUUUGACCGCAGAAGGAGUAGCAGUUGACCCCGAGAAGGUGGAAGCCGUCUCCAACUGGCAGCAGCCCACCAAUGUUAGUGAAAUUAGGAGUUUUCUUGGUUUAGCUGGGUAUUAUCGGAGGUUUAUUGAAGGAUUCUCUAAGAUAGCCCGACCUAUGACAGAGCUACUCAGGAAGGACAAGAAAUUCAAUUGGACUGAGUCAUGUGAGAGGAGUUUUCAGGAACUGAAAAGAAGAUUAACGACCGUCCCAGUGUUAACCCUACCGGAUAUCCAGCGGGACUUCGUCAUUUAUUGUGAUGCUUCCCGACAAGGGUUAGGGUGUGUCAUGAUGUAGGAUGGGAAGGUAGUAGCAUAUGCCUCCCGUCAACUUAAGCCCCAUGAACAAAAUUACCCCACCCAUGAUUUGGAAUUUGCAGCCGUAGUGCAUGCCCUCAAGAUCUGGAGGCUCUACUUGAUCGGGAACAAGUGUGAGAUUUACACUGACCACAAGAGCCUAAAAUAUAUCUUCACCCAACCCGAUCUGAAUUUAAGGCAAAGAAGAUGGUUAGAGUUGGUCAAGGAUUAUAAUCUGGAAAUUCACUACCACCUCGGUAAGGCCAAUGUGGUAGCGGAUGCAUUAAGCAGAAAAUCCUAUGGGCAGAUCGGACCUAAGGACCCCUACUUACAAGAGGAAAUGGCCCGAUUAAAUGUGCACAUCGUCCCUCAGAAUACCAGCCGCAAGCUAAGUGUUCAGCCCACCCUGGAAGAAAGAAUCCGAGAGGCCCAAGGCUCGGACACCGACCUAGUGAAGAUUCGCAGGCAAACCGGAGAAAAUAAAGCCCCAGACUUCAGAGUGGAUGAAAAGGGAACCCUGUGGUACAAGGAUAGGAUUUGUGUGCCCAAGGAAAGUGAAUUUCGGCAGAUCAUCAUGGAUGAGGCCCAUAACUCAGCAUAUUCCAUCCACCCGGGAUCCACCAAGAUGUACAUGACUUAAAACAGAAGUACUGGUGGAAUGGGAUGAAAGCAGACAUAGCCCAGUUCGUCGCUCAUUGUGAUAUUUGCCAAAGAAUUAAGGCCGAACAUCAGAAGCCAGCAGGUUUACUGCAACCACUACCCAUUCUAGUUUGGAAAUGGGAUGAGAUUGUCAUGGAUUUUGUAAUAGGAUUACCCAAGGCCCAAAAAGGGAAUGACUCCAUAUGGGUGAUAGUGGACCGACUCACUAAAGUUGCCCACUACUUACCCGUACGGACCACCUAUGGAGGAGAAAAGCUAGCUCGGCUUUAUGUGGACAACAUAGUGAAGUUGCAUGGUGUACCUAGCAGAAUUGUUUCGGAUAGAGGGACCCAAUUUACCUCUAGAUUCUGGAAGAGUCUUCAUAAGGCUAUGGGCACCAAACUGGACUUUAGUUCAGCUUAUCACCCCCAGACCGAUGGCCAAACAGAGAGAGUAAAUCAGAUCAUGGAAGACAUGUUGAGGGCAUGUGUCCUUACUUAUGGCAAAGAUUGGGAAUAGAGUCUACCAUAUGAAGAGUUCUCAUACAACAACAGUUACCAAGCCAGCUUAGGCAUGUCACCGUUUGAGGCUCUCUAUGGGAGAAAGUGCAGGACCCCGUUGAUGUGGUCGGAAGUGGGAGAGAGCACCUUGGUAGGACCUACCUUUAUUAAGGAAGUAGAAGAGCGAGUAGCUGAAAUAUGAGAGAAGUUGAAAGCAGCACAGUCUAGACAGAAGAGCUACUCAGAUAAAAGGAGACGAGAGUUGAUUUUCAGUGAGGGGGACUUCGUGUACCUUAAGGUCUCUCCGAUUCGAGGUACCCGAAGGUUCCAAGUGCAAGGAAAGCUGGCCCCUCGGUAUAUCGGACCAUACAAGGUGCUAAAAAGAGUUGGAGCGGUAGCCUACCGUAUUCAGUUACCCGAAGAAAUGUUGGACAUCCACCCGGUAUUUCAUGUGUCCCAGCUAAGAAAAUGCCUGAGAGUACCAGAAGAGCAAGUACCGGUGGAAACCAUAGAUUUGCAGAAGGAUCUGCGAUAUCAGGAGGUACCCGUCAAGAUUCUAGACACUGUCACCAGAAGGACAAGGAAUUCAGUAGUGCGGAUUUGCAGAGUCCAACGGAGUAGGCAUGGUGAAGAAAGAAGCCACUUGGGAACGCGAGGAUGCGUUAAAGAAGGAAUUUCCCCAUCUGUUCAGGAUUCAGCCGAAUCUCGAGGAUGAGAUUCAAUUUAAGUGGGGUAGGUUUGUAACGCCCGUAAAAAUACACCCAAUUAAAUCACUCGUUAAAAAUGCUUUCCAAAAAUUUUCCGACCGCUGAGCUCCGUCAAACCCUUUUCCCUUCCGUCGGACCCGCCGUUCCGGCCCCGGCUCGUCAACCCUCUUUUUCCGCUCCCCGUAAUUUUCACCGCGUGCCCGUCCAAUCCAUCACGCGAGCCGUCUAAAUCUCGCAACUUUCGCUGAGCUGCCCCUCCCCUUUUUCCUCUCCUUUCCCUUCCUUUUUCCUUUUCUUCCUUUACUCCUUCUUCCUUCUCCUCUUCUUCUCCCCCUCCCUCCUUCCCUUCUCUCUCCCUCUUUUUCUUCUGGCGCAACUUCUCCUGGCGCCAUCCGCCUGGCGCUACGCGCGUGGCUCUUCCCGGCCAGCUCCUGUCGUCCGGCCCCACCGGGCCGCACGCGCCUGGCCGCGCUCGGCCGCACCGCGCGCGCCAGGCCGCGCCGGCUGCGCCGGGACGCGCCGCGCGCGCCUGACCGCGCCGGCCGCGCCGACCGCGCCGAGCGCGCCAGUGCGCCGCACGCGCCGUCCUGCUCCGCUCCGCCCGAGCCAUCCCGUCGCCACCCCUGUGCACCGCGCCAUCCGCUGGCCAACACGCCACCUCCCCGGCGCGCUUCCCCACGAGGUCGCCGCCCCCUGUGCGCCCUCGACGACCACGCCGCCACGCCAUCCACGAGGAAGCCCGCCUGAGCACGCCACCGGCCGGAAAGUCCCGGGCACCAUCAUUACCACCGACCGCCCCUCCCUUGCCGGCCUAUAAAAGGGGCCACGCCCGGCCCUCCGCACCACCACCACCGCCGCUAGCUUGCCGCCGCCCCUCCCUUGCUUCCCCGUGCGCCUGCCGCCGCCUCCGCUAGUCGCCGCCGCCCCCUACUGGACCGGCGCCGGCGCCCCUUCUCCCACCGUCGCCGCACAAGGUGAGGGCCCAAAACGGGCCCCCCACACCACCCUCUCCCUCCCCCACCACUCGGCCGCGCCGCCGGCAAGCAAGGCCGGCCGGCCCGCCGCCGGUCAACACCCCCCUCUUUCCCUGUUAUGGCCCAAGGAGGAAGAAGAGGAUAAAAUCCCUCCUCUCCCGAUCUAACCCUCAAGUUUUCCCCAUUCGCGAACAAGUCCUCCCACCAAUCCAAAAAUAAUUACAGAUAGGCCCCUGCUCUCGCGGUUUAGUCCUAAACCUCCUUUUAAAGCCCCUAAUACUCCUUUAACCCGUCAUUUCAUGCGCCAAAUUUCCUCCAAUUAAUCCCAAAUUCAACCACGGCCUCCUCUCAUAUAUUUCUGCCGAGGCAUAUCAAAAUUCCAUGAAAAUACCCUUCCUACCUAUUUUCCGUUCAUAUUUCCUGUUCGGAGCUCAACGGGUAAAAACUUUUUCCCUCUUUAUUUAUUGUGUGCUCGUUUGUGUGUGCCGUAGAUCGCGGAGUACCCGAGGAGGAGCGCGAGGAGGAGUUCGACCGCGAGCCCGAGCCCGAGGACCAGUACCGCGAGCAGGAGCUCCCGGAAGGCUUUGAGAACGGCAAGUCCAAUCUCACCCUUUGAUGCAUAUUUAAUACCCAGUUUUUCAGACACAACCUAUUGGCCUGUUUUAUAAAAUGCAUAUCGUUUUAUCGCAAGACAUGGUUGGAUAGCCACCCCUUGAUUGUUAUGAUUAUUCCUUGUCGUCCCAUAUUUAUCUCUAAAUAUGAGUUGCUCUGUUUAGAUGAUAAAUACUGCUAGAAUGCUUAGGAACUCAUUAUCCAAAUGCAAUCAUGACUACACCUGUUUAUUCGGAAGAUAAAUGUGUGAGUAUGUUUAACUGAGGAGUUGGGUUUUCGGGUGUAAAGAGAGGUGGUGGAUGAGAUGGAUGGGCGUUUCUGGUGUGAGAUGCUGGGUUGUUGGGCUCGUACCUUAGUGGUUGAGCAGAGUGGGAGUUAUCCAUCUUGUCAUGGCUAAGGACCGAGUUGAUGUGUCAUCCUGCCUAAUUCCAUCAUCGUGCAACCACUCGACCGUUGUAUGGGCAACGACUUAGCAUAAACCCCACUAGCUAAACUGCUAGGCUUCAGGUGUGCUGGUGAGCAGCGGGAGCCCUUGGAAAAGGACUAAGCUCUUGGUGACUUAGGUCCCGGUUUCGGCCCCGUGGAUGGGUUGCUAACCCCUUGGGUGCUUCCGUGUUGACUAGUCAGUGUUGGCUAAGGUGGGUAAUGACUUUGUUAGGAUCCGUACCGUCACUAAGGUGAUCGCGAUACGGUACCCUACUUGUGGGAAAAGUGUACAACCUCUGCAGAGUUAAAACCUAUCCGGGUAGCCGUGUCCACGGCAUUGGACGAGUUACGGCUCGGUCACACAACUAGCUUUUGGGGAUGACUGGUAUUUAUUGUGUGUGUGGGUGUGUGGAAUUUUGGAAGUGUCCGGCAGUUGUGCCGUGCGCUACGGCGGACGGGGAGUCCGGUAGCGAUAAAACUUGGAUCCUUUGUGUAGGAUCAACCCCACUUGAUGUAUCGGUUACUAAAAUGUUUUCAUGAAACUUCUUUGAAAUGAAACCCUGCAUGUGUCUAAAAUUCAGCUUUACUGCAAAUAAACCACAGCUUUACCCUUGUUUAUUCAUAUGCAUAUUCCUGUUGUAUCCCCCUCCGUGGAUGGGGUUGGACUUGCUGAGUACCUUGUACUCACCCUUGUGUUGUUACUCCAGAGGAGGAUCCGGACUUCGUCGCCGAGGACUUCGAGUAGGAGGUUGCGUCUGCACCCAACGCUGCCUGCGGUGUUGGCCCUUUUGCAGGAUGCUUCCGCUGACGCAUAGUUCCGAUUGCAGACCGGAGUCCGACUGGACUGCAACUUGGAUUUGUAUUGUUAUCGCUUUAGUCUUGCUUUGGGUGUGGCUUGCCCGCCCGCUCCUUCGGGAGUUGUACGGUUUCUGAACUAUCUGUUGAAUAAAUGUGUUAUCAGCCUCCUGGGACUGAUAAUUGGAUCACAUUUAGUCUCUACUUAUGUGGGGACGCUUCAUCAGUCGUCAGCUCUCAAGUCCCAACUCCUCCAAGCCCUUGUUUACUUCACCCCCAACUCCCAACUUUGGCACUAUGCAAAAAGAAGAUUCCCCAUCACAUCAAACUUGCGGUACAUGCAUGGAGUACUAAAUGUAGACGAAAUUAAAAACUAAUUGCACAGUUUUGUUGUACUUUGCGAGACGAAUCUUUUAAGCCUAAUUGGUCAAUGUUUGGAUAAUAAUUCACAAAACAAACGAAACGCUACAGUGUGCUACAGUGUUGUAACAGUAAUUUGGCACCUCCAAACUUUGUCAACUAAACAAAUUGAUUUGAAUGAAGAUCUCCUUUGGUUCCCGCACCUAAAGUUUAGUCCCUAUCACAUCAAAUAUUUAGAUACUAAUUAGAAGUAUUAAAUAUAGACUAUUUACAAAAUUCAUUGCACAGAUGGAGGCUAAUUCGCGGGAUGAAUCUAUUAAGCCUAAUUAGUCCAUGAUUUGACAAUGUGUUGCUACAGUAACCAUUUGCUAAUGAUGGAUUAAUUAGGCUUAAUAGAUUCAUCUCGUGAAUUAGCCCCAAUCUAUGUAAUUAGUUUUAUAAUUAAUUCAUAUUUAAUCCUCCUAAUUAACCUUCGAAGAUUUGAUGUGACACGAAUUAAACUUUAAUUUACAACCAAACUCCGCAGAUCGAUUUUUUUGGACGGCACGACGGGACGGUGGCGCGGGCCCACGAGCUGCCUUAAAAGGUAAAAGGAUUCACGUUUUGAUGGCACGAGGCCGCGGCGAUCCGAUGGAUGCUUCUGUUCUGCAGGUCCCCCGGCAUGGUUCUGAACCUCUUGUUUACUUCACUCCCAACUCCCAACUUUAUCACUAUGCAUCCCCAUCACAUCAAACUUACGGUACAUGUAUGGAGUACUAAAUGUAGAUGAAAUUAAAAACUAAUUGCACAGUUUUAUUGUACUUUGCGAGACGAAUCUUUUGAGCCUAAUUAGUCAAUGUUUGGACAAUAAUUCACAAAUACAAACGAAACGCUACAGUGUUGCAACAGUAAUUUGGUUCACCGAGUAAACAAGGGCUUUCUUUCAGCUGUGCGGUGCUUCAUUAGAGCUCGGAUCAUCAGAACUUUGAUGUUACCAGCACUGCACACGCAUCCGAUAGGCCGAUGGAGCGUUGAUCGAUGUGUGUGGUCACGGUCAUCAGUUGGACGCGUGCAUGCAUGGGGUCUAGAUAAAGCACGUCGUCGCGUGAUGGCGCGAACGAAGCCGCUGCGUCGCCGUCGCGUGGCGCCACCACGAGCUUUAGAUCGCGAGUAAGCUCUAAAGCGAGCCUGCUUAUCGAUGCGAACGCUGUGACCAUGGCUGAAAGGCGUCGACGCGCGCACGGGCGGGCGCGGCCGAAAGCUGGGAGUUCGAGAGCCUUUGGCUUGUCCAACACGGUCAUCAAUUCAUCAUGUGUGUAUCCCGAUCGCUUUCCGUGUGUUUCACUCCUCUGCUACCUCUCUCUUUGGCAGCCGCCUCCUUUACUUCUCAAUCUCUCCUCUUUACACAGCAAUCAAUCGGAUACUACAGCAAGCGCCAAAAGUUCAGAGUUGGUUGUGGUCAGUUGGACUGGAUAUACUUGGAUACGCUUUGCGGUCAGAGGCUUACUUGGUACGCGUCAUGGGGAAAGCCCAAGAAAUCGAUCAGCGAUCAUCAUGGAGCAUGGGGGAGGAGCGGCAGGUGUUGCACGGAACAGUGAGUGCUCCUGUCAGAGUUCGCCCACACCCUGAUUCUGACCAGACGGUGAGCCCAGGCAAGCACACGAGCACGGAGCACCUGCCAUACUUUCCCCCAGAGGCCCAUAUCGCCGACCCAUCACAUAUGCCUCUUCCUGUUCCGGUGGUUGUUCCGACGAACCACAGAGAUACCCCAAAAGUGCUUCUUCCUCCCACUUCCAGACAACACAAGUACACAACACCGUGCAAAGUGCAAACGUGAGUCGCGUCGGUACAAUUAUAUGUACAUCUACAGAAAGACAAUCUCUGAACUCCCAAACGUCCUCUCGGCUUGAUUCAAUCAACACUACUCUUGCUACAACAAAAUGAUACGACUAAGUAACGGGCGCCUGCUCCCAGUGUGCACAUGACGAGAUUCAGGUAGAGGAGCCACUUCAGUCGCCUGGCCGGGGGCCCAGUUUAGUAGCGGCUGAAUGCCAGUGUGCAGCGGAAACACGACAAUCUGCUGAGCAAGCCCAUCUGAAGAUUGGAGCCCUGCAGUCUUUAUACCUUCUUGAAGAAUGACAUGAUGCUCCCUUGCUUGGUGCCAGUGCCAGCCUUCGCAGGUUUCUUGUUGCCUGCUGCUUUGCUUGGAGCUUUGCUCUUGUCAGCGUUUGCUGCUGGCUGUGGCUUGCUUGGAGGAGCCGCCCUGACAGAAGAUUGGAGGUUAAUGAGAAACAGCAGUAGGUAUUGACUUAGCGAAGCAGUGAAACCAGAAACGAAUGCAUAGGCACAAGCUAUCUCAUAGUAUGAUGGUGAUCAUCAACACAAAACGAGCAUCAGGUCAGGUCAGGGAGGUGCUGCUCUUGAACAGCAUCUCUACUGGUAUGUCUGUUUUUUUAGAUUAAGAACUGAUAUGUCUGUAUGUACCAAUAUUAAGGAAUUUCAAGAAGCCAAUAGAUCUAAGCAACAACAGAUUGGCAGAUGCUUCUGCCUCACAGGUUAAUCCUCCAGGCAGAUUUGUAUAAAAAAAAACAGCCACUUCCAAAAGUUGAAGGACCGAAGGGGCGACCAGAGGGGGGUGAAUGGGAGCCUAUAAAAAUUCUCAACGAGAACUAGGCCUAUGUUCCAAAUGCAACCCCAAAGCACACCUCGCGUUUUAUCGUCAAGAUGACGUAAGUCAACUCGUGACAAGCUCACCCUAGGAACGAUAAGAAACGCUCAAUUCAUAGCGGAAACAAAUCAUGAAUCGAUUCCAUCAAAUUUGAGCAAAAGAGAUUAAGCAAGGACACUAUUGACCACUUCAAACCUCACUUUGACUAAUCAUACAACGAUUUAAUAAGGAUACUUAUCUAACAAGCAAGGAUUAGCAAAAGAAAGUACCGAUUAAAUCAUACAACAACCUAACAGUAAAUAACUAGCAGUUGCAUGGAAUUAACGGAACAAGAAAAAGCUUACAGUGCUAUCUGGUGGAAGAAAUUGGGCCUGCUGCUCCUUGUCUCCCUUGACCGGCCUGCUAGCUGCGCGCUUGGCCAAGGUUUGCUGUGUUGUCACCUGCUGGGCUGCCAGCCUGGCCCGCGAAGCGCUGCUGGCCUGAGCCUGCUGUGCACCUGGUGGCCGGCCUGCUAGGCCUUGCUCUGCUCCUGCUAGGCUGCUGCUUGACGGCCCACCUGGCCUGGACGGCCUGCUGCGCUGUGCUGGCCAGUGCCUCACGUGCGGAGCGAGUGCUCGUGCUCCCGACGUUCGGCACAAGAAGAACAGAAGGAAAAAACACAAGAACACCAACAACUAGCUUCAAACUUCAAACGAAAAAUCCGUCCUCAGUAUUUCACGAAUCGAGAUGAAACUUGAGCCAUAGAUGCGCAACCCCAAGGGCUAAUAGAUCCACGAAAAAGAUCUCAAAACGCUCAAGUGUUCAUCGCGGAUUUAGAGAAAAACCGAAACCCUAACUCAAGAACACGAUUUAGGAAAAACUCAAAAUCAAGCCGGAUUCGUGACGGAUUUGAAGUGGGAUCAUAUCAAAGAUGCUCUUCAAGGUCCUAGCAACAAUUCCCUUCAACCAAUCUCACGAGAUUCGGGCUCAAACAUGAUGAACGAAAAUUCCCCAAAAAUAGCUCCGAAAAUAGGGAAAAAGAAAAACGCUUGGGAAACAAAGAUUUAUCAUGAUUUAAGACAACAAACAAAGCUAAAUCACGAGAACAUCUUCUAUACAAGAUGAGGACUAGCCUCCUCCCUUCAUCCACCCACUAAAGAUGAAGAAAGAAAAGAGUAAUCACUCUCUAAUCUCCCUCUCUCCUCUCACUUUAAGCACAUGACUAGCCUCUAAGCUAAAAGAUAAUGAGUUGCUAAGCUAAGAGGUACUGAAAUAACCAGCCCCCCAUCCCUAUUUAUAGUCCAGGAUGAAAGGCAAAACUACCCCUACAACUACAACUAGGAUAACUACCCACGUAGGAGCAUUUUGGUCCAAGUUUUUAUCCGCGCAUCGGACGGACACGCCGCCUUCACGACUUUGCUUCGCCUUGACGCAAGCUUCGUGAUGACGCCACAUGCCCUCCUUCUCAAAGCUCCGGCCGCACCGGGCUUGCCCCCGGUUUUGAGGCCCAAACCAGGAAACCUGCCUGCGCGGUGGUUUUGAGGCCCAAACCACCCAAACCGUCCUUCUUCGCUUGGCCGCUACGCGACCUCCUCGAUGUCGACGCGUGUCCGGCCUUCGCCAAGCCUCCCGCUUAACUUGACCGACGUCGUCUCCAUCUUAUCAUGUUCUCCCGUCGUUCCGUGCACCAUGUGGACCGCCCGUGACUCCGCCCGGACUCCUCGGGUCCAUCGGUCCAAGCCUACUCGCGUUCAUCCUUCACCGCCCUUGGUCCAUCGGUAUGAACCUUUUGCUUGACCUUCACCGCACGCUGUCGACCGCCACGUCGCAUCCUACACCUGCACAUCACAAGCCAAGAGCAACAUCAAACCAACACAACAUUGUCAAUCACUCAUCAUCCAAGGGUGACCACCAUUGGUCCUCAAUCUUCCCCUUGAUGAGUGCAUUGACAACACCCCACAAAUUCAUAGUAUUGAAAUAGAAAACAAGAAACUCAUAAUAGAAAAUCUCAGUCCCCUAAGAUAAGGGCAACGGCUCUACACAACUGAGACAAAAUCAUGUGAUCCCUUAAGAAGAGGCAGAAAAUGGGCUCAACACCAAUCACAUGAAAAUCCAAACUCAAAUAAAAAACCGACUCCUUAAGAAGAGGUAAACAGCUCAACAUGACCGGUACAAGGGCACAAGAGCAUAUCAACAACUCACAAAUACUCCCCCUAAACAUAUGCACUCCCCCUGAAAUCAUGCAUACAUGCAAAGUCUCCCCCUUGACAGAUAAAUGAGUUUGUGUAGAUUUCUCUCCCCCUUGUUGACAAUGCAACUAUCAAGAAAAGCAUGAAAGCACAAAGUGCAUGCCAUGGAAAUGCUAACAAGCUUCUCAAAUAUAUCACAAAGCACUCUCAAAUGCUACCAAGGAGAUAAAGCUUGAUGGAUCAUAAGAAAUAAUAGCAUCGCCAACAAGAUGAUAUCAAGUUACAACAGUGGAGGUGAAACAAGUAUCAAGUUUUAGCAAUGUAUAAAAAGAUCACCACAUGAGCAAGCACCUAGUUAAGAAUCACCCAAGCAAGAAUAGACUAGUCCAUCAAGAGCUCAUACUAGGAAACACCAUUCUCAACAAGAGAUCAUUGCAAACACCCACAUAUGCAUCACAAGUCAUGUUUAAAGCUUGUUCAAACCAAGUGUCUACUUCUUUUGGUAGACAUCUUGUAACAACUAAGCAAGCAAUAAUAUCACAUUAAGCACAAAAACUUGGUGAAUUUAUGAAUUUUUCAGCAGUUUUCUUUUCAUUAUUCACACAAAGCAAAAUACAUGAAGUGCCUUUGCGGCAAAAAGAAGCCAUGCUUCCCCAAGGGGUGCAUCAUGGGCUAAACAUUUGCAAUGAUACCUAGAUCGGUGACCCAAUUGAAAAGAACAUGGAUCCCAUGUUGGAGGUAUGCCCUAGAGGCAAUCAUAGAGAUGAUGAUAUUCCAUUUGUAUCCAUAAUUUGUAUAUUGUGUUCAUUGAAUAUCCAUCAAAGGCUACUUGAAUUGAUUUGCAAUUAUGUGAAUUGUAUGUGAAACUCUUUACUUGUAUGGUUAUUCUAAAGUUGUCCCUAGUCGGAGUUCAUGUGAGGACACACAUGAAUAUUAGACUAGCACAUGUAUUAGUUGAUGACUAUGUUUCGCAAGUCAUGGACAUGGAGAUGUUGAACUAAUAAUGUGGACACAUGUGGAGACAUGUGCUAGGACUGACCUAACACGAGAAGUAGUUAUCUCUUUAAACAACAUAUAUGCUUUGUCCUUAGACUUGAGAUUGUCGCAUGUAUUCAAGAUGUGGAUCGACCUACUUAGGGGCUAUUAAACGCUACGCCGUAACAGGGUAGUUAUAAAGGUAGCUUUCGGGUUUGUCAAGAAGCAUGCUAUGAGACAUGGUCAAUCAAGAUGGGAUUUGCCCCUCUCUGAUUGAGAGUGAUAUCUCUGGGCCCCUCGAGUGAUCGGAUCCGAAAAUGCAUGGCCAUGCUACGUACGGUUAAGAGUUAACCUACAAAGGGAUUCCGAAUCACAGGAUCGAGAAAGAGCGGUCGACUUGAAGCUAGACCAAAUAUCGCGAGGCAAAGGGAUUAGCAUGUAUAUUAUGUUGUGAUGGUUUGUCUGAUAUGAUCUUUGUGUGCGUAUAGGAGUUGGCACGUCUUGCUAGAGGCCGCUACCGACUAUUGGGCCGAGUAGGAGUACUCGGGCCAUGUCUAUACGUAUCCGAACCCAUAGGGUCACACACUUAAGGGGCUGGAAGCCCAAUUCGGAUGUGAUCCAAGUUGGAUUAGGUUUAGAAGUACUAAUGGGUCUCGGACCCAGAGGCCCGUUAGGAACCUCUAUAAAUAGAGGGGUGGGGGCGCCCUAGGGUUUACACCUUUUGGCAAAACACAUCUACCGCGCCUCCCACGCCCUUGCCUGUUGCAACUCGUGGAUCUAGCAGUCCGGCUUGCGACGCUUCCUCCCUGCACGUGUGGAUACCUUGGAGGUGUUGCAUCUGCAGCACUUGGACGAGCCGCCGACGAGCCAUGACGAGCCGCCGACGAGCCACGACGAGCCGACGACGAGCCGCGGCACGAGGGCGAUCUUGCUGCACGUGGACGAGCUGCUGAGGAGCUGCUGGACGUUGACGUGAUCGACUACGUACGACUACGUUGAUCGAUUACGUACGACUACGUUGAUCGUCUUCGCUGCAUCGACGCAAAUCUACAUCUUCCGCACCAGUAGUGCGUCGAGUGGUAAUCCCGUGAUCCUUAUACGACAGUUCUUCCUGUUUUUACGUGGUAGAAAUUUUGAUUUGCGCUAGUGUAGCCUACCUCGUAUCCCAACAUCCCAAACACAAGCUAAAUAUGGAACCAAUAUUCAAACAAGGGCAAACCAUAACCAAGCAUCUUCUCAUGGGUGAUAAGCAAGUUAAAGGAGUAGAAUUUAGCAUUGAAUUUCAAAAAAAGUUAUCUCAACAAGUAUACAAUAUCAUUAAGAGCAUAACUGCACAUUGCAUCAAAAUCACCAACCACAACACUAGCUCACAAGUAGCAUAAGGGAGUACACAAGGUAAAUAGGAGAAGCUCAUCUAGUGCAACAUGAUACAAAAUGCAAUAUGAUACAAAAAGCAUGGAAACUAAGCUAAAAUGAUAUAGAUGAACCACAUGCCAUACCCAAAUGUGAACUAAGGUAAAGCAUGACAUGAUGUUCAUAUGUAUCAUCCACCACAAUAUAUCAUAAAAGAUAGCAUGAUAAGAUAUACAUGAAGAACUCAAAGCUAUCAUGAAGAAGUGGCUAUCCUACCAUGUUUUGUACAAAAAUCAUACAAGUAUAAUACAAGAGAAGCUCCAAAACCCAACUCAGAAAGGAAAGCAAACACCCAACUCCCUCCGCAAAUGAGCAAAAGUGGCUUGAUCCAGGGGUUUGGUGAAAAUGUCCGCGAGUUGGUUUUGGGUAGCAACAUAGCCAAGGUCAAUGUCCCCUCUCUCAACAUGAUCUCUUAGAAAAUGAUAUCUCACAUCAAUGUAUUUGGUUUUUGAGUGGAGAACGGGAUUCUUAGCUACACUAAUGGCACUCGUGCUAUCACAAAGAAGAGGUACACGAGUAAAAUCCAAACCAAAGUCUCUCAAAGUGAAAAUCUUGUAAAGUAGUUUAGAACAACAGCUAGCAGCAGCAACAUACUCAGCUUCGGUGGUAGACUGAGCAACACUAGAUUGUUUGCGAGAAGUCCAAAAGACCAAAGACGAACCGAGAAACUGGCAAGUACCUGAGGUAGACUUGCGAUCCAAGCGACACCCAGCAAAGUCCGCAUCGGAGUAUCCCCAGAGCGUGAGUGUCGAGGAGGCAGAAUACCACAAACAAAACUCAGGGGUAAAGCGGAGAUACCUCAUGAUCCUCUUCACUGCCUGAUGGUGAGAUGUCCUCGGUGAAGCCUGAAAACGAGCGCACAGACACACGACGAAGUGAAUGUCCGGCCUCGUCGCCGUCAGGUACAAGAGGGAGCCGAUCAUACUUUUGUACUCCUUCUGGUCCACCGGUUCACCAUCUUCAUCCGCAUCUAGUGUCGUCGUCGUCCCCAUGGGUGUGGAGAGUGGCUUGGCAUCAGCCAUGUCAAACUUCCUCAACACGUCCUUUGUGUACUUCCCUUGGUGCACGAAGGUUCCUUCCUUGCUUUGCUUGAUCUGUAGCCUGAGGAAGAAGGUCAACUCACCCAUCAUCAACAUCUCGAACUCCCUGCUCAUGUCAUCUGCAAACUUGGCAACCAAAGUAUGAGUUAACCACCAAAGAUAAUAUCAUCCACGUAUAUCUGAACAAUCUAUAAGCCAUUGCCUUGCCUGAGGAGAAAGAGUGUUUUAUCAUUUGAUCCCAUUUCAAACCCAUUCCCAAGCAAAAAGGAUUUCAAUCUAGCAUACCACGCUCGGGGUGCUUGUUUUAGGCCAUAGAGAGCUUUCUGAAGUUUGAAAACAUGAUCAGGAUAUUUAGGACUCUCAAAACUAGGGGGUUGUUUCACAUACACUUCCUCCUCUAUGAAACCAUUUAGGAAGGCACUUUUCAAAUCCAUUUGGAAGAGUUUAAAACCUUUAGCCAUAGAGAAGGCUAGAAAGAUUCUAAUCGCUUCCAAACGGGAAACAUGGGUAAAGGUUUCCUCAUAAUCUAUCCCCUCUUUUUGGUUAAAACCUUGGGCAACCAACCUUGCUUUGUUUCUCACAAUCAACCCAUCCUCACUUUGUUUGUUUUUGAAAACCCAUUUUGUUCCUAUAGGAUGGCAAUUUGAAGGUGGUUCAACUAAAACCCAAACCCUGUUUCGCUCAAAGUUCUCCUCCUCCUCUUCAUUGCAUUAACCCAAUUUGAAUCAGAUAAAGCAUGUCCAAUAUCUCGGGGUUCGAAAGAGGCAACAAAUGCAGAAUGUGCAAAGUGUGAAAUCUACCUAGAGCUGUGCCUAGUGGUGCGUUCAUGUAAGUUACCGAUGAUCUGUUGUGGAGGAUGAUGACGCUGAAUGUGCCGUGGAGCCUCUCGCUCUGAAGUCGCCUCCCCCUCAACAGCAGCUGGAUCACUCUGAUCUUGUUCUUCUUCAUCCUGUAGUGGUACUGGUUGAUGGCUUGAAGUAGUGGAAGUAGAGGUAGGGCCAUCAACUCUCAUAGUCGAAGUAGAAGGUACAGGUGCAACAGCUGGAGCUCGGUCAAUCUCAUCAUCAUCUUCCUCACCACCAUCGACACGCUCUUCCUCUUCCUCAAAUAUGCUUUGCCCCAUUUCAUGUUCACCUGCAACUUCAAAGACAAGAGUUGUGCAAGGCAUAGUUUCAUCGAAUGUAAUCUCACAAGUUUCCACGAUCCGGUUAGUUUCAAGGUUAAGCACACGAUAAGCACGACUAUGAGAAGCAUAACCAAGAAAAAUCCCAUCCGUAGAACGAGACUCAAAUUUAUCCAAAUUUCCUUGCUUGAGAAUGAAACACUUGCAGCCAAACAUCCUCAGGUGACUCACUUUGGGGGAACGUCGAUGCAUCAGCUCAUAAGAAGUUUUCUUCAGGAAAGCUCACAAAAAGAUUCGAUUGGACACAUAGCAAGCAGUGUUGACGGCUUCGACCCAAUAUUUUCUGGAGUCCUAUGCUCAUCAAGCAUUGUCCUAGCCACUUCACAAAGGGUCCGAUUCUUCCGUUCAACAACAACAUUCUAAGGAGGGAUAUAAGGCGAUGAAAACUGGUGUUCAAGACCAAGAUCAUUGCAAAAGGCUUUAAAACGAGCGUUCUUGAACUCUGUGCCAUUGUCACUGCGGAUAGAUCUCAUGGCAUCUUUUGGUCGCUCGUUUCUCAACCUCAAGAUCAAAUCUCGAACAAAAGAAAAUGCCUCAUCCUUAGAUUCCAUGAAGAAAACCCAUGAAUAGCUCGAAAAAUCAUCAACGAUCACAAACACAUACCACUUCUCACCGAUUGAACAAACACGAGCUGGACCAACAGUGUCCAUAUGCAACAGCUCGCCUGGAUGUUCAGUCAUCACCCGAUUCACAGGUGGAUGGGAAGGAGCAACCAUCUUCCCAUGUCGACAGGGAGCACAAACAAGAUCUUUGUCAAACUUUAAUUUGGGCAAACCACGAAUAAAAUUCAAAGUACUCAAGCGGGAAAGCAAAUCAAAGCUCAAAUGACCCAAUCUCCUAUGCCAUUUUCAAAGUUCAGAAGAUGAGCCAGCCACUAAACACCGAGAGAGACCAAAUGACUUGGAAAAAUCAACUUGAAACACUUGACCCUCGGGGACGAUCAUACACACAAGAUCGCCUCGAGAGUCUAAAGUCCUUGAGGUCCCUUGUUUAAAACGGACCUCAAAACCAUCAUCAAGCAGUUGCAACACAGAGAGAAAAUUGAAACCAAGAGAAUCAACAAGAGCAACUCGCUUGAGCAUGAAAUUCUCACUCACCUUGAUAACACCUUCAGACAACACUUUACCUUUGCUAUUAUCCCCGAAAGUGAUAUACUCCUUGAUCAUCACCGGGGUGAGGCUGGAGAACCAUAUGUGAUCACCGGUCAUGUGUCGAGAGCAACCAGAAUUAAUAAGCCACGUGUUCUCCAGGCCUCCGACCUACUCAAACAAAGGGAGACCAAGGAUGAGCAAAUGACUCAACACUGGGGUUAGAAAAACAAGUAGAAUACCAGUGUUGAACCAUUUGCUCAAGAGUGGGGUUAGCAAAAUCAACCAUCUCUCGUCUCACAGGAGGACUACGACCAACGCUAGGGGGAAAACAUGGUCCGUUGUAGCUUCGAGACUCAAAGCCACGACCAUAUUGUCCUGGGCCAUAUUGAUCAUGGCGAGGAGCAUGCCUAGUAAAAACACGCGAAGGAGCAAAACACACACUAUCCACACAACGAGGUGGAGGAGUUGCUCUAGGCGUAUGUACACCAUGAGAAGGGUGGUACAUGUCCCUGUUGCCCCACUAACGCUCACGCCUCAAAGCUUUCUUCUUGCAAAAGCAAAACUGCUCAAGGUGACCCCAUCUCUUGCAAUACUCACAGUGGAAUCUAGCAGACUGUUUUGGCUGAGGAUUCACUCUAGGUUGUGGCUUGUCUUGGGGUUUUGGUGGAGGUUUCUUAGGAGCAAUUUCUGGAAGUGUGUCAAGUUUGUUCUUGAGGUGGUUUGGCUUUUCCACCCAAAUGGCUUUCUUGGGUGCUUUAGGUGGUGUCUCAAUGAAAAUUCCAUCUCUCACACAAUUAGACAAGUUUUGCUCACAAGCUGGAUUGGGUUGCUCUCUAUUUUUAGUGGGUGACUCUCGAGGGGUGUAGUCAAUUGGUGGUUCACACUGAUUGUAGUUUGAUUUCUUUCUCUCACCACUAUUUUGACCCACCUUCUCACACAACCCAUCAAAGAACUUGUGCAACCCAUUAAAAAGACAUCCCUUUAUAACCGACCCAAGCCCAAAACCAUCAGCCCUUUUGAACUCCUGAAUCAUCAUGCCUAGCUGAGGUUCCCUACUUGAUACCCAACUAAGAACAUUGCACAAGUAGGAGUUUUCAUCCUCAACAUAUUGCAAAUUAAGCUUGAGUUAAGGACAAACAAUGCAUUCAGGAAGUUUAGAUCUAGCAAUGAACUCAGACUUCUCUAAAGCACUAAGCUUAGCACAUGCAUCAUCCAACUGAAGUUGCAAAGCAGGGCAAGACUUACAUGCAUCAAGCAAAACAGGCCUAGUCUUGACCUCAUCUAAAGCAGCCCUAGUCAAAUCCAAUUCAUCUACCAACAAAGCAUGCUUAGAUUGUAAAGAUGCAAGACUAGCCAUAUGAACACCACAUUCAUCACACUCAACAACAUCAGAAACAGUAGGAGCAGAUUUAAGCAUAUCUAUCUCAAUCAAGGCACUUUCUAACUUAGCCUUAAGCUCAAUUCGCUCUUUAGCAGCCUUCUUAAGCAGUUUAUCUUGAUUGAUUAGGCAAUCAUUAAGUUCUUCUACUUCUAGAGCAAGUUGUUCAGGAGUAGGCUAUACCUCAGUUUCUGUGUCAGAGUCACUUUCCUUAUCAUCCUUCUUGGAGUUGAGAGCCAUGACAUAGUACCCGUCGUGGUUCUUGCUGGAGUAGAAGCAGAGGCUAUUGAAGUUCUUGCCGUUCUUCUUCUUUGCCUUGCAGUCGUCGUCCUCCUCGCUUGAGCUUGAGUCGGUGUGGUCGUUGGUGUCGGAGUCGACGUCGCUGAGGGAGGCGAUGAAGGCACGUGCUGUGGCCUUCUUGCGAUACUCCUUCUUCUCGCGGUCGGUGUACUUCUUCUUCUUCUUGGUGCCAUCCUUGUUCUUGUUCUUAUUGUAGUCGUACUUGCUCUUGGAUUUGUUCUUGUCGGGGCAGUCGGCGGCGAAGUGUCCUGGCUUCCCACAGUCAAAGCAGUUGUUGUUGUUCCUUUGCCUGUUCUUGUGGUUGUCGUUGAAGCGCAUGAAUCACCUUGUGAUCAAGGUGAGCUCAUCAUCAUCAAGAACCUCCAGCUGCUCCUCGGAAAUAGAAACCAAAGAAGACAAGGCAAACGACGUAGAAGAAGAGUUACUCAAAGACUUAGGCUGUCCAGAGCCUGACAUGAGAGCCAUACUAUUUGGAUCUUUAGGGCCUCCUUGUUUUGCUCGGAGCCUCUUGUCAACUUCCGUGGAUUUCAACUUGGUAAAGAGUUCAUCAGUGGAAAGUGUUUCAUAAUUGUGUGACUCGAUGAUAGCAUCAACCUUCGUACCCCACACUUCGUGAUCCAAGGCAUGCAGGAGCUUUAAAGAUCUAUCAUGAUCAGUGUAGGGUAAGAUGGUGAUAUUUGCUUUCAUCUUGUUCACAAUAGCCAAGAAACGUUGAAACAAAGCAUCGGCAGACUCACCAGGAAAAUGAACAAAGUUUUCAUACUCACGCCUAUAAGUCUCAAAGAGUCUAGCCUUCACCUGACUGUUUCCCUCAUGGAAAGUCUGAAGUCAAGACCAAAUCUCAUGAGCAAGAGAGAGAUCUUCGACUCGAUCGAACUCAGCACGACUCAGACUCGCAAACAGAAUAUCAACCGCCUUGCUGUUGGCGUGAUACUUAUCCCUUUCAUCCUGAGUCACAUGAGUAGCAGGAAUCACAUAAGUCACAUCCUGAGUGAUUUCCCAAACCUCUACUCCCCUACUAUUUAGAUGGGCUUUCAUGCGAGUUUUCCAAUACCGAUAAUCAGAGCCAUCAAAGUAGGGUGCAGCAGUCGAGGAAGAACGCUCAGAGGUCGCCAUAAUAGGUUUCAAAACUGAUUAGGGUAUGGAGAGACCUUAACCGGCUUUGAUACCAAUUAAAGGAUCGAGGGGCGACUAGAGGGGGAGUGAAUGGGAGCCUAUAAAAAUUCUCAACGAGAACUAGGCCUAUGUUCCAAAUGCAACCCAAAAGCACACCUCGCGUUUUAUCGUCAAGAUGACACAAGUCAACUCGUGACAAGCUCACCCUAGGAACGAUAAGAAAUGCUCAAUUCACAGCGGAAACAAAUCAUGAAUCGACUCCAUCAAAUUUGAGCAAAAGAGAUUAAGCAAGGACACUAUUGACCACUAGCAAACCUGACUUUGACUAAUCAUGCAACGAUUUAAUAAGGAUACUUAUCUAAAAAGCAAGGAUUAGAAAAAGAAAGUACCGAUUAAAUUGCUAAACAACCUAACAAUAAAUAACUAGCAGUUGCAUGGAAUUAACGGAACAAGAAAAAGCUUACAGUGCUAUCUGGUAGAAGAAAUUGGGCCUGCUGCUCCUUGUCUCCCUUGACCAGCCUGCUAGUUGCGUGCUUGGGCCAGGUUUGCUGUGUUGUCACCUCCUCGAUGUCGACGCAUGUCCGACCUCCGCCAAGCCUCCCGCUUGACUGGACUGACGUUGUCUCCAUCUUGUCAUGUUCUCCUGCCAUUUCGUGCACCAUGUGGACCACCCGUGACUCCGCCCGGACUCCUCGGGUCCAUCGAUCCAAGCCUACUCACGUUCAUCCUUCACCGCCCUUGGUCCAUCGGUAUGAACCUUUCGCUUGACCUUCACCACACACUGUCGACCGCCACGUCGCAUCCUACACCUGCACAUCACAAGCCAAGAGCAACAUCAAACCAACACAACGUUAUCAAUCACUCAUCAUCCAAGGGUGAGCACCAUUGAUCCUCAAAAGUAAAGCGGAAAAUGGAUAGGAAGUCAGGUAUCUGAGGAAGACUGAAUGAUUCAGUAAUCAACUGACGGGUACUAAGCAGUUUUUCUAGGAUUAAGGUAACCUAUUGCUUCAGGCAAUCAUGCAUAAAAUUAAGUAACCACAAAGCUUGAUAGUUUUUUACUAUUACGUUAUGCAAGAACUGCUGGUUGCCAUCUAACAUGCGGACAAGUCAUUUGCUCAAGUUUCAAAUUUCUCAUGCAAUAAUAAAGACAGAUUAAUAAAGUUGGAAAUAUGCCAGCAGAGGUCUGGCCAAAUGAAGGCACAUUGGUUCACAAAUUAACUGCCUUGCAUCAUCUGUUUUAGGUCAAUUUCUCUCUAAUUAGACUAAAAAUAUUGUAGUCAUUUUACAAAAGGAACUAUGACAGGAUAGACAGAUCACUUUUACAGAUUUUUCUCUGCUAAUUUGGGAGACUGAACAGCAAUAAGUAAAAAUUCACAAUUUACCUUUGUUUCAACAUUUGCAAGCCUUGCAUCCAUAGCACCAACUUUCUUGGUGAGUCCCUUCUGCUUUUCAGUCACCUUUUUAUCACCGCUCUUUGGUUCAAGGUGAACAUGGAAAAUUCCUGUGCUUAGACCAAGAACAUAGCACCCAAAGAUGCCAUAGAGUGCAAAGGCCAGAUUGUGAUGGAAGUGGGUCCCAGAUUUGAGCUUGCUAACGUCCCUUUUCCAGCAAGCAAAACUUAAGAUCCUGUAUAGUCAUGCCCUAUCCAAAGCAAAACUUAUUACAUAAUGUAUAUAAUGUAUAUAAUGUAUAUAAAAGUGUACGUUUAAAUAAGAUAUAGUAUUUAUAGUUACGUGAAAAAAUGGAUCAUGGACUACCUCAGUCCGAGGUGACUUCAAGAGCUGCGAAAGCUCCUUAGCCGAGGUUGAUCUCUUCCAGGCAUAGGCAUAGUUGGCAGUGCAAAUUGGUUUGUCUUCCCAUACUUGGGCAGAGGCAACUACGGCUCCUUCCCCUUUCCAGAUCUCCUCUUAGCUUUAGCACCCCUAGAAGUAGAAGCUUUUUUUCCCAUCUUGGAUGUCACGAGCUGCUUCACGCGCAUACACUCAGGGGCUCACAGGAGGGAGGUGGCGGCGGCGAUCUCAAAUUGAUUUGCAGCGGCGUUGGAUAGUAGGGUUUUUUCUCAAGCACAAAUAGCAGAUGGCAAUGGUGGAGUAAACGGGGGAUAACUUCCCUUGUGUAUUUAUAACAGAAGCAGAGUAAACGGAGGUAAUGGUCCCGACGUUUUUACCUCUGGCUGUUAAUUUCGCAUAUGUCCGUCAGUUCUUGAAGUUACCGCAAAAGAUAAGGUUACUGUUGGCGACAAUCACGAUGACUGGUGCUUGACCCUUAUACCUCCUGAAAUUAGUCAGGUAACGGCUCGAGGGCUGUGUGCCACGUGCCCGUCGGCUAAAAAGGUUUUUUCUCCGAAGUUUAAGGUGAAAAUAGUGCAAAUGCAGAUUGAUCCUCAGCCUGAUUCUUCGAUUCAACAUAAGGGUCAGGGGAUACUUCAUAUGGAGUGCGAUUUUCAUCACACUUCUAUAUAUAAAUUCAAGGACAGAUAUUCAAAAUAGCGUCAGAUGAGGCUUGAGCACAUUCUAGCAGCAUGGCAGUACUCGAGUUACUUGAAGGUUCAACUUCGAUAGAGUACUCAAAAGAGCACCAAGAACUAGUCGGAUGAAGCCUGAAAAGGUACUCGGGACUGCUACAUUUGACUAAAACAUACUUGGGGGCUUGUCGUAUAUACAUCAAUGGGCCCACCAGAAGGUUUGGACAGACCCAUAUAUAGGGUUGUGCACCGAGAUGUGUCAGACAUGAAGACUACGGUGCAGGACGACGUAGUCUACGUGGAGGACAGGAGCUAGUCGAGGACCCGGAAACUACUUAUAGCAGUCAGAGUAGGACUCUCUGGUUGAAUCCAACUAGUAUCCUUGUAAAAUAACCGACCUGUAACCCUACUCCGAUAUAUAAGGACGGGUAGAAACCCCCUCCAGAAGAGUUCAAUUGAAUAUAAAAAAUAACACACAGGACGUAGGGUAUUACGCGAUCUAGCGGUCCGAACCUGUAAUAAUCGCGUGCCUACGUACACCAUCAAGUUCCUAAUUUCGACGAUACCCACCAACCAAAACUCUACCUCAGGUAUUCCUCUUUGUAGGUUGUCGGGUUUAAACACCGACAGUAACUAUGCACUCUGACCUACAAGCCUAUUAUUCUCAAGGUCAUUGUUUUACUUGACAAGUGGCAGUCGGAUAUGUGUCUCUGUUUUUUUCUCUAGCACUAGUAUUGCUGCAUUUGGACACAGAAGAUGAGAACAUGACAACGAAAUCAACUGUAUCACAGGUGCUGCGAUGAGAUGAAUUAACAUACAGAUGGAUGUGUUUGUUGAAACAAUUUUUUUAGAAAAAAAAGAGAUCAAGCUUUUUCAGCUUAUGGAAUACUCUAGUAGUAAGCUGGGAAGUUAAUUUUGAGAGUUUUAGGCCCUGUUUGGCAUGGCUCCAAUUCCGGGUGGAGCUGCUCCACUCCAGAACUCCACAUGGAGCCAGCUCCACUCCAAAACUUCAGAACAAAAAUGGGGUGUUUGGCUAGAUGGGUGCUCUCAGCUCCAAAAAAGAUCGAUUUCAGUGUGGAUUGUUACUAUUGCCCCCCAAUUAAGGUCCCACUUGUCAUCCUCUCUAUCCCAUCUUCUUCUUCCCCUUUUUCCACUGCACUGUGCCGCACACGGGAGACCCUCCACGGGCGGCGGGGUGGGUGGUGGGCUGGGCAGCGGGCGGCGGGGUGGGCGGCGACAGGGGCGGCGCAGGGCAGCGACGGGCGCAGCGGGCAGCGACGGGCGCGGCGGGCGGCGACGGGCGGCAGGCCGGCCGGCCACGGGGGCGGCGACGGGCGGCGGGCGGCGACGGGCGUCGCCGGGCGGCGGGGCGGCGACGGGCGACGCCGGGCAGCGAUGGGCGGCGGGGCCGGCCGGCCAUGGGGGCGGCGACGGGCGGGGCUCUAGCGGCGAGUGGGGCUCGGGAGAAUAGAAGGGAGAAUAGAAUGAAACAUUUUUUUGUGUAACCAGUGGCAUUGGUGGGUAAUUACCCACCAACUCCACGAGGAGGUUCAAAAGAGAGGUUUCUGGAGUAGCAAAAGAGGUGCUCCAAAACUCCACCUCCAUUUGCACUACAGCUCCAUGGAGUUGGCAACUCCAUGGAGUUUUGGAGUUGGGGUGUUUGGCUGAAAUUUUUGAUGGAGUUGCUGGAGUUUAGGAGUGAAGCCGUGCCAAACAGGGCCUUAAGAGCCUUUAACUCUACCAAUUUCACCAGCUCAUGGGCUGAUAUGGGCGUGGGCCGAUAUGGGCCUCGCCAACAUCAUCUCUUGAGCCGACCGAACGAAAGUAUAUAAAACCCCACCACCACUCCUGAAAUCACUCGUGGAACCCAAGUAGCGUAAACCACUCACUCACCAAUGGCGGCGGUGGCGAGGGAUGUUAGAGUGCUUGCGAGAUUCCCUAGGGCGAUGUCUGUCGCUCGUGCUCCUACCAGGAGAUUGACUUCGGGCGCUGGUGCUGAUGAAUGGAGGAAGGCCAACCAGCUGCCCGAGGAGCUUGUGCUGCUUGUUGAGAAAACUCCCACAGAAGUACGUCUCAGGUUGAAUUGGUUGAUGCUGGCACUCGUGAGUACAAAUUAUUAGAACGGCUCCUUGUAGAUCUUGUUAACACCGAAUUAUCGGACUUCUAUAGUUAGUUUCGGAACAUGAAACAUGCAUACUUCGAAACUGGGAGGCCUGUGUUAACACCAAAAUUUGGAAAUAUGCUCUAAAAGGAAGGAAUCGGCCGAUGAUGCAGAAAAUGACGAAAUCUCCUAAAUAAGGCUGAAGAAAAAGAAAGCAAGAAAAGGAAAUCAACGCACACGGCAAGAGUUGAAUAAAAUAUUUUGUAGAUAGAGUUGGUUAGGGAUAAGUUUGAUUAGAGAUAGAGUUGGAUUAGUUAGAGAUAGAGUUUUGAUUAAAAAAGAUUGCAUACGUGACUUGCCUUGUACGUGAUUGGAGCCUUGCCAUGUAACAUCGCCAUCCGUCCUAUAAAUAUAAAGGGUCGUGGCCAUUGUCAAGGGCCAUUGUCAAAUGAAUCACACGAUCAAUAAACAAACAUAUUUACCUUUACCUUUCGGCUUCACGCCAUUGCAUUAGGAGUAGGAGUAAUGUAGCUUCUCAACGAGUUCCUUCUAGCAAGCUAGGCUGCAUCGACCUCGAUCUCUAGCAAGCUGCAAGUCCCCGUCAUCAGGUGUACUAGACUUCAAUUUCCGAGCGCAUCGCUGUCGUUGGGUCUGGUUUCAUCUACCAGUUAUCGAGUAUCUUGGAUCUUUGACUUACGGCGCAUUGCUUCUGUAUCGAUCUACGGUAUUCACCAGUUAUCCUACCUUGAUUAAGCUUGCAUCCGCUGAUAUUUACCUGUUCUAUCGUCUUGUCGUUUCGUUUGCUUUAAUUAGCUUUAGAUCAGCUCAUCAUAGAUGAUAGAUCGCUUGAUAGUUUGUUGCAUCUUAAUCCUGGCUACCCUUCGAUUGCUGUUGGAAUUAAGUUCCAUUGUGAUUAGAUUCAUGGGCUGGCGGGGUCUGGAUUGACGUCCUGCUGAGUGUUUCUAGGUUGCAACUACUGGGCGCAUCGCUGUGGUUUCAUCUAGGAAUAUUGGUGGUGACAUUAUUUUAGAUCUCAUCGGUUUGUGGCUCUAGCUAUGGUGGAGCGAGAACUCGAUGACGCUCUGUCUCCUAUCAGCUGUCUACCCGAUGGUCAUUGUGAAGUUAUGUUGAAUCAGCUUGAAUAGCCGAUGAGCCAUUUGCAUUCAUCAGGAGGUUGGAAUCGGCUUCAUGGAUGAUAUUUUGUUUAUCAUGAUUUAUUUUACUACACCAUUAUCGCUACUGGUGCUCGGAUCACAUCGGCAUGAUCAGCCAGUUGCCUCGAACUUCGAAAGGAUCAUCUUCCUCUUGUCAAUUGAAUGGUCAAAGCACGCCCACACCACACGCGUCGAUUUGAAUUCUGCACUGGAGUUAAGCAAAUCUCCCAACUUGGUGUCAACAGAUCUAAGUGCGAAUCAAUUGAUCUAUUUCACAGUUUGGCUAUAUAUGAUCCUGGUUUGUAGUGGUGACAGUGUAAUAUCUGUUUGAAUCUUAGAUUGAGUUCCUUGGUGCUUGUAUUCGUGUGGACGAAUUUGUAUAACUACUCGCAGAUCCGAGUAUGAAUCAAUUGCGAGAUCCAUUUUGUAAUUUGGUAAUUGCUGUGGAUAUGAUCCCGUAUUUGUAGUAGUGUGACAAUGUAACAUCUUUUUGAAGUGUUAACACUUAACUAAUGGCAUGGCAUACUGAUUAUUUAAACCUAGCCUUUAAUUCAGCUUGUCUAUGUUAGAUGUUGUUAAACUGACAAUGUAAUUGUUGUAAUGUGCUCCUACUGUAUAGGUUAGAUCCUAGAUUCUAGCCUUGACCGAGAUGUACAUGUAUUUAACCACCUCUGCUCAUGAAUGAAUCUGUGUUGGAUCAAACUCUUUCUACAGAACUAUUUAAGAGCUACUUGAUGCAUUUGCUUUUGUUAGUUGAUUUAUCAGCACAUCCCCUAGGUUCGUUUCUGUUGGAAAUUUUGUGUUGGAAUCUCCAAUCUGCCUUGAAAGUUAAACUGUUUGUUUAUUUUGAUAGAGAAUUGAUCCAUAAUGUUCCAUUUGUCCCUAUAACAAGAAUCAUUUGGCAUGGUAGAUUAAUUCGAUAAUUUCAUUGGCGGACUUCAUGGCUGCUUUAUUAUGCUGAUGUUUCACUGCAAUUGUGUUUCAUGUUUUAGCACAAUAAUUUCUGAAUAUUUACUGAUUUAGGUAUGCUCUAGUAUGCUUAUGUUUUACUGCAACUGUAUGCUCAUGUUUUGCUGCAACUGUAUGCAAGUUUAUUGCAACAAUUACCAACAGUUUACUUGUUUAGUCUACUCUAUUAUGUUCACGUAAUUCUGCAACUGUAUUAGGUUGUUUUGCUCAUGUUUUGCUGCAACUGUAUGUAAGUUCACUGUAUGCUCGUUGUUGACUGUAUUAGGCUGAGUUGAUAAAGGUCCAUGAAAUCGGCCAAGGAGCUUUCGCAUCUCUUGAAAUAACCUAUGACUGAGGUCGUCCAUGAUCCAUUUUCGCAUCUUAUUGUUGUUCAGUCUCACUUUGUAAGUGCUGUUAAUUUGGAAUAAAUAAAAAAAUACCUCAUGGAGGAAGUGGCUCAAGUCCUUCGGAUCAAGCUCUGCAUGAAUUUUUGACUCGGAAUGCCCUGUUUUUUUCACUUCUCCAGUUGUGUUAAAGCCUAUGGAUAAUGCUGAAGUCCUGAACCAGCUACGCAUUACUUCCGACCCUUAGUGCCCUGUGGAGGUUUUCUUUUCUUUGUGGUUUGUUUAAACUCUUGAAUGGUAUGCAAAACUAUGGAACGUAUCUAAAAUGCUGUUUUCUAGAAUGAUUUUCAUAAACUUGUAAAGUUUGGUCUUAGAUAAGUUUAAACUGGAGGUUUAUUUUUUUGGUUCGGUUUAAACUCAUGGAUGGUAUGCAGAUGUAUGAAGUGCAUCUUAAAUGCUGCUGGAUGUUAAGUUUAAACUGGAAUGAAAUGGAACAUGGUGUGGCUCAAUUCGUAGCAAAUGGUUCAUUACACGAGUAAUCAUUCCAGUGUGGGCCAAAUCACCAAUUGUAGCGCAAGCAGGAAUGUUCGCAACUGCUUGAAAACAUACUCUCAUCAUUGGCUGUUUUCACUAUUUACAUGAGUUGAUCUAGGCAUACGUAGAAGUCAUCCAGGUAGAAACGUUGUCUAGACGAGUAGAUCCGGCUAGUAGGCCCUUUUAAACUUCCAACCAAUGGUUCAACCAGCAUCCUUCAUCCAUGACCGGCAGCAUCAAUUUUCUGCGGUACGAAAAACACUUGCGGUACUGAUCCAGUAUUUAGCUUCACCGGGAAGCAAGACUACCAUGUUCUUCUGAACCUUCUUUUUUUAUGUCUUCUGAACCUGCAUCACUGCAUGAGACUAAAAAUAAAAAGCAAGUUCCAUGGAACCUCCGUGAAAGUAAAGAAAUAAUAAAUUCUACAGAAUGCCGUUUACGAGACGUCUUCUCUAACUUGUCUAGUCAAUCUAGCAGGUAGAACACAAGACAUAAGAGAAAUGAUGAGGUUACUCUCGCACAUUCAACAGCUUUGUUAAUCUAUAGUUCUAUAUGAGAGUAGAAAAGAUUCGUCAUCCUUGGCAAAAACCAGAUUCAGAAGUCUGGAAGAACUCAACAUUACUAUGCCGUCUUGUGGGCUGACCAAGUGAUCAACACCCAGCUUUCUAGUGCUUGAUAACCAGAUGUUGUUUCAACACUAGAAAAUGUAACAAUCACUUAAUGUUAGAAAAACAAUCAUAUAUUCAUGUGCAGCUGAAAGCUUGGCAGCUCAGCUACUGAAAUUAAAUAUUUCUGUAAUAAAAAAUACAUCUUUUUUAAGUCAAAGGAGACAAGAAACAAAAUAGAUAUAUCACUGGAAAAAUAUUUGCAUGUAGAACUGUUUACAUUGCUAUUCCUAUUCAUACUCAAAUAAAAGGGAAAAGAAAAGCAUCCCUGAGAGUUUAUUCGAAGUGAUCUGUUUUAGAUAAUGGUUGACUAACUUAUAAUUGUGUAAACUGAAAAUGCUGCUAAUGCGACCAAAUUAGGAUAAAAACGUGGUAUAUUGAGAGAAGGAAAAAUAAUGAUCAAAACCAUUAGAGUUGCCUAGCUGUGCAUUGCAAUUCGAGUAUAUAAGAAUGGUUUCAGUUAUUCUUCCCUGUGUUUCUUUCCAAUUUGCAUAGCAUCAUACCGUGCUAAUAGCUAAUAAUGUAAAUUCACAAUAUCAAUAUGGCUAUCGAUUUACUACACGUUUCUAAUGCUGCACUAAAGGUGCUUGCCAUCCAGUGGUCUAGCACAAAAGAAUUGUAAUUAACAGGUAGGCCAGUCAAAUGUAUUUACAUAUUCUGCCCUCAAAAAUAAUGGAGAGCAACAGUUAGAAAAUCAGUUCAAAGGAUUGGUUUAACAAAUUUGCAGUCACAAAGCUUGCUCUCAGAUGGAUCCUUCCACCAUGAUAAGUUGCCAGGUAUAUACAUUGUGCCGUUUGAUUUUUGUUCGGGCAUGGGAAUUUUUAGAUCAGUCCUAGCAUGUCCUACGACCAAGAGAAAGGUAGGAGAGAUGGGCUUGAAGCAGCAACAUGAUAAAAUUAAUAUGGAUAAAAUUCGAAAAAACAUGGGCAAAGCUUUGUUCCUAUAAACAGCUGUUAGGAAGUAUAUAUGUGUAUUAUGAAGUAUUUAUUCUUUCCAUGUAUACUUUGUAUUUCUUGUACCCAAGACAUAUUGACUAUAUAAUAGAGGUCAAACCCCCCCCCCCAUUAGGGUGUGUGGUGUUUCCUCAUCUAAUUCUCUACAUAGUAUCACAAGACCGGAAUCAAUCUAAUAUGGGACUCUCCUUCUGCUCCACUCCUCCUCCCCAGCGCACCUAGAACCCUAGGCGCCCACCUGCAUGGCGGUGCUCCCUCCCCUCCUUGCACUAGCGCAACCCCCCUUCCUCCCAUGGCCACCCACUCCACCGCUGACUCCUCCCUGUCCGGCGGCAACCUCCUUAUCUCCGGCAAUGCCACCGCCCCUCCUAGCGGCUCUGGCGCCCCUGCACCACCUCCUGGUCCGCUUCCUGGCGCCGGCACCUCUCCUGGUGGCGGCCUGCCUCUCAUUCAUACGCCGCUGCCCGUCGUCCACACCUACGUCACCGUCUCCGUCAAGUCUCACGUCCCCAUGACGUUGACGAUGAAGUCCUCCACCUACUCCAAGUGGGUGUCCUUCUUCAAGUCUAUGUGCGGCAAGUUCAGCCUCAAGUUGCACAUCGACGGCACGGUGGCGCCUUGUCCCCAAGACCCCAACUGGGAUCAAGCGGAUUGCUGCGUCCACUCCUGGUUCUUUAGUUCUGUCGAUGACUCCGUCCUCGACCUCACCAUGACCGACGACGACCAGACCGCCCAGGAUCUCUGGCUUGCCAUCGAGGGACUCUUUUGCGCCAACAAGCAGUCCCAGGUGAUCUUCCUCAGCCACGACUUCCACUCCAUGACGUAGGGCGACUCCUCCAUCGCCGAGUACUGUCAGCGCAUGAAGACCCUCGCCAACGCCCUCCGCGACGUCGACCAUCCCAUUCAGGACACCCAGCUUGUCCUGAAUCUCCUCCGCGGCCUCAACCCGCGCUACUCCAAAACCGCCGACAACAUAACCAACUCCACCACCGGCUUCCCCAGCUUCGCCCAGGGCCGCGACAUGCUGACCUUGAAGGAGCUUCGCCUCGCCAACGAGGCAAAGGUCUCCACCUCCACCGUCCUCCUCGCUGCGACCGGCUCGACGCCUUCCUCCUCUACCUAUUCGGGCGGGUGCCGCUCCUCCUCUGGCUCAGUCCAGGGCAACAGCGGCGGCGGCACCUUCAACCAAAAGAAGGGUGGCGGUAGCGGUGGUGGCGGCAAGAAGAAGUGGAAUGGGAAGCGCAGUGGCGGCCGGUUCCAGCAGCCUACUUAUGGUGGACAGCAGGCCGACCAGCCACGCCCCUCCGGUCCGUGGUUCUGCUUCAGUCCAAGGAUUGGACCCUAUGGCGCAAAGCAGCAGGCCGGCGGCUAUGGAUCCGAUGGCGUGGGCGGCUAGCAUGCCUCUGCCCCCGGACUCCUAGACCCACCACCCUAGGUGCACACGGCGUACACUCCUCUCCAUGCGCCUGUCCAGGCACCCUCGGCGGCUCCGAUGUGGGAUCAAGCCGAUCUGGUUGAUGCCCUCAACCAGAUGGCCCUGCACAAUGGCGGUUGGGUGGUCAACUCCAAUGCCUCCGGCCACGUGGCUUCGUUUGAUGGUAUACUCCAAUCUCACCUACCUCCCUCUCAUUCUUUCAUUACCGUAGGCAACGGUUAAACUCUUCCUAUUAUGUGCCGUGGCAACUCCACCCUCUCUACCCCCACUUCAUAGUUCCACCUAAAUAAUGUCCUCAUUGCUCCCUCUUUAGUCUGUAACCUAAUUUCUGUUCGUUAGUUUACUAGGGACAAUAAUCACACUAUAAAAUUUGACGUUCUUGGUUUUUCUAUCAAGGACAUCCAGACUAGAUGUGUGAUUCUUCGGUGCAAUAGUGCUGGCGAUCUUUACACCAUCCCACCUGCCGCCAGCUCAGCAGCUCCCCACGCCGACCUCGCCACCUCCUCCAGCUUGUGGCAUCUUCGUCUUGGUCAUUCAGGUCCCGCCGCCAUCGACACUCUUAGACUUCAUUCCUCCAUAGCUUGUAAUAAAGGGACACAUACUUUAUGUCAUUCGUGUCCAUAUACUUCUCCACAUAACGGGGAAGCUGAAUGUGUUAUCCACACUCUUAAUAAUGUGACUCGCACCUUGCUGAUUCACUCAUCUAUGGACGCCUCAUAUUGAGCUGAGGCGCUCGCCAUCGCCACCUAUCUUCUGAACAGGCGCCCUUGCUCCGUCGUCCAGAACGAUAUUCCCUACCGCCUCCUAUAUUCCCAGCCUCCCGAGUACUCUCACUUGCGUAUAUUCGGUUGUCUUUGCUAGCCUAACCUUUCAGCCACGGCACGCCACAAACUUGCUCCUCGCUCCACAGCCUAUGUCUUCCUUGGUAAUCCCUCUUCUCACAAGGGGUACCGCUGCCUUGACUUGUCCACCCGUCGAGUCAUUAUUUCUCGUCAUGUUAUCUUCGAUGAGCCUGUUUUUCCCUUCUCCUCCCACCCCACCCCCUUGUCACAGCUCGACUUCCUCUUGUAAGUCGACUAUAUUGUUGCUUGAAACUAUUCAAGUUAUUGUAACCAUUGGAUGGGUUGGUCACAGAAUAAACUAUUCUAUGGCCAUACGUGGAGUAUACUAUAUAUAUAGUUUUUCCUAUAUAUCCAAACAUAACGCAUAUCCGGUCAAAACGAUCAACAAAUUGUAACUGGUGAAGUACUUAUCUGCCGAUGCCCAGCCGAAACUAGUAAAUUUACAGUAACUCUCACCUUGGGAUACAAGUAGGAAACGUCUAUUCUCCCCUCGGUCGUCAGCUCGCUUUCAUGCCCAGCGCCUCUUGUUUGCUCAUGUGAGCUAAAGUGCAGCUGAUGAGCGUGUAGUGUUUCUGACCAUCGUCAACCACGUGUCCAUGAAGAAUGCAUGUAUCGGACAGGAGCCUGUGGUUCACAGUUUCACACCGGUGAGUGUGGCACCAGCGCCUACCGCGGGGCAGAAUUCGUCUACGAGAAAACGACCUCUGAUUUGGCUUUUGAGUUGGUCGUUGAUGACGGCAGCGAUCGGUGUUUCCGAUCUUGGAAACGACCUCUGACUCGUUCGCGAUGCGUUCUCGAGUUCAGCUGGCUCGUCACCUUCAGAUACGGGCAGGAAACCUUCACAGCAUGUGGCAUCUCGAUCGGGAGGUAGCCUCCGGACCAGCACGAAAUGGCUGACCUGCAGACUGCAGUAGUGUUUUUUUUUCUUUUCAUGAAAUAUCGAAGGUAACUGUAUUUCCUGCAGUAGGCGGUGUCCGUGAGAGCCAAACGGCGAUCACCGCAGAACGAACUCGUCUACGAGAAAGAUAAUAAGGUGUUGUUUGAUCCUGGAGCUUCAUGUCAUAUCAAAUAUUCGGAAGCUAAUUAGGAGUCAUAUCAAAUAUUCGGAAGCUAAUUAGGAGAAUUAAUAUGAGUUAAUUAUAAAAUUAAUUAUACAGAUGGAGGCUAAACGGUGAGAUAAAUCUAUUAAGCCUAAUUAAUCCAUCAUUAGCAAAUGGUUAUUGCAGCGGCAUAUUAUCAAAUCAUGGACUAAUUAGGUUUAAUAGAUUCAUCUUGCCGUUUAGCCUCCAUCUGUGCAAUAAGUUUUGUAAAUAGUUUAUGUUUAAUACUCCUAAUUAAUAUCUAAACAUUUGAUGUGAUAGGAACUAAGUUUAGCCCGGGAAACACCCAUACGACUCCGAUAUUCACAAGCGGCAGCAGGCGAGGUCGCACAAGCGUCUCCGUCGUGCUUCCGUGUUGUGUUUCUGUUACCUUGCUGCAGUAGCAGCAUGUAUUACACCACGGGAAACAAGAAAUUCGCCGAGUGCCAGGGGCACUCGGCGAGCCGUUUGCCGGCAAACUUUGUGACGGCAAACAAGGAUUUGCCGAGUGUUUUCUGUCGCGCACUCGGUAAAGACUUUGCCGAGUGGCCAGAAAACACUCGGCAUACAAUUGUUGAAAAAAAUAAAAAAAAAUCUGUUCCGGCCGCCGGCCGCCGCCGCCAGCCACCACCGCCAACACCGCCACCGGCCGCCGCCGCCACCAUCCACACCCAGCCACCCGCCGCCAGCAGCACCACCACCGCCAGCCGGGAGGGGAAGGGCCGGAGGAGANNNNNNNNNNNNNNNNNNNNNNNNNNNNNNNNNNNNNNNNNNNNNNNNNNNNNNNNNNNNNNNNNNNNNNNNNNNNNNNNNNNNNNNNNNNNNNNNNNNNACUAUAUAUAGCAAACGUAGAAAACGGAUUAAGUUCUGCAAGUUAUUUUGUUUGAGAAAUCAUCAAAUUCAAGUCAUUAUAGGGUCUAGCCGCGUUUAGGUGCAAAUCUAUCUUGACGACUCCUGGUCGUGGAGGUUCAUGACAGACACUCCUGGAGUAUGGCCAUAGUAUGCGCCAAAACUUUUGCUCGGUUGUAUACGUUUUCCAAAGUUGAGCCCUCCCUUUUUUUUCCUUUAUAUAGGGGGUGUUUGAUACAAGUACUAAACUUUAGAAGGGUCACAUCGGAUGUUCGGACGCUAAUUAGGAGGACUAAACAUGAGCUAAUUAUAAAACUAACUGCAAAACCUCUAUACUAAUUCGCGAGACGAAUCUAUUAAGCCUAAUUAAUCCAUCAUUAGCAAUAGUUAUUGUAGCACCACAUUGUCAAAUUAUGGACUAAUUAGGCUUAAUAGAUUCGCCUCGCAAAUUAGACUCCAUCUGUUCAAUUAGUUUUGUAAUUAGAUUAUAUUUAAUACUUUUAAUUAGUAUCUAAACAUCCGAUGUGACAUGUCCCGACGUCGGAUCCAAUAGUCAGGAGACUGGCUGUUGGGAUGGUGACGACAGAGAUCGGCGCCUCCGAUCUUGAAAACGACCUCUGACUCGUUCGCGACGCGUCCUCCAGUUCUUGCCCGUCAAGCACUCAACAGCCAACAGUCAACAGUUGGCAGCGGCACCGACUGCUGUGCUGAGUACAUCCAAUCCAAAACCCCAGAGCAGCGUGCGUAUCUGCCAACGCCUAACUGAAGGAAGCCUGAAUUUGGGAGGUGCCAAAUUACUGUAGCAACACUGUAGCGUUUCGUUUGUAUUUGUGAAUUAUUGUCCAAAUAUUGACUAAUUAGGCUUAAAAGAUUCGUCUCGCAAAGUACAACAAAACUGUGCAAUUAGUUUUUGAUUUCGUCUACAUUUAGUACUCCAUACAUGUACCGCAAGUUUGAUGUGAUGGGGAAUCUUCUUUUUGCAUAGUGCCAAAGUUAGAAGUUUUGUGGGAAGUGAAAAGGGCGAAGUAAAACUUGAAGACUGCAGCGACACUCGCCUUUCAGAUGCAAGUUGGGAACUGUCCAUCUCGUCCCUCAGUCAUCUGCUCGUCUUCAACCCAACAACCCCUCUUGCUCAUGUGAGCUUCCCGAAUUGCUACGCUACACUAGCUCCCUCCCUCAUGCUCCAUGCCUCCCUCAACCUUCCUCUGCCUGCUGCUGGCCGCCGCGCCCCUACUCGCGCCGGCCGGCCGCGUCCACGCGCAGGGCGGCUUCUUCCCCACGCCGGCAUCCACUAAAGUGUCCACCAGCUGGACCAUCAGCCUGAAGGCGGACGGCCAUGGCGCGCAGCAGCACUUCGGCUACAUGGACGGCAUGUCGGUGAGCGUCUUCCUCCUCCAGUCCGUCCACGGUCCGACGCAGGAAGGCCUCUGCUUCGCCGCGUGCUUCUACUGCACCGACCCAUGCACAGAUUUCUACUUCGGCGUCUGCAUCCUCCAAGUCGACAGCAGCGGUUUCCUCAGCUGGCCGAACGCCGGCACCCUGCAGGUCGUCUGGUCCGCGAACCGGGACCGCGCCGUCCGUGAGAACGCCACCCUCAGCUUCACGGCCAGCGGCGACCUCCUGCUCCGGGACACCCAUGGGAGCUUCGUCUGGUCCACGAACACCUCAAACCAGUCCGUUGCCGGUAUGACCGUCACCAAGUCCGGCAACCUGGUGCUCUUCGACGGCAAGAACUUGCCGGUGUGGCAGUCCUUCAGCCACCCGACAGAUUGCCUGCUCCCGGGCCAGCAAUUGGUGGAGGGGAUGAGGUUAACGCCGAAUGCCUCCGCCACCAACUGGACGAGCAACAGUCAGCUGUAUGUUACUGUCCGUGCUGAUGGUUUAUAUGCAUUGGUUGAAUCUUCGCCUCCUCAACUUUACUACCAAAAGACGGUGCCCAAAUCCGGAAACAGGAAAACUUACAUGACCCUGACAAAUGACUCCGUGGCGAUCUUCACAUCCUCCUCCUCUGACAAUGUAUCAACUCUAGAGACGGGCAGCACGAUCAACAUAACAGCAGGAGGAAUGGGGUACAUAAGGCUUGAAUCUGACGGACACCUGAAGUUGUAUAAGCAUAAAGGAAUAGACGGAUGGGUGAUGGUGCAGGAUAUUCUGAAGGGGCAGGUAGAUGAUUGUGCUUACCCGACCGUCUGCGGUGAGUACGGCAUAUGCAACAAUGGGCAGUGUACAUGCCCGAUUGUCAACAGCUCUACAUACUUCAAGCAGAUUGAUGACCGCAGGAUCAACCUCGGAUGUGCACCGGUGACUCCAAUUUCUUGUGCGUCGAUGCAAGACCACCAGCUCCUUGCUCUAAGUAAUGCUUCUUACUUCAAUUAUGUAGAUUCAAGGGCCGCUUUGCCUCAGAUGAUUGAUGAAGAGAGUUGCAAGAAGGCCUGCUUGCAGAACUGCUCCUGCAAGGCUGCAUUCUUUCAGUACGGUGGUAAUGACACUUCUCAAGGCUCAUGUUACCUUCCAACACAAAUCUUUUCGUUGCAAGUAAACCAGUGGGAAGUAACUCAUUAUAGUUCUUCUGCAUACCUUAAGGUGCAGAUCACACAGCCACCCCCAAGUCCUAGUCCCUCGAAAUCGAAUGGUACAGCAAAUAGGUCGACACCCAAAGGAAGUACAAGUAUUACUGCAGGCGCAAUUGCUGGCUUCACAGUAGCAGGAGUCGUCUCUUUACUAUCUGUGAUCAUCAUUACAUUAGUGAUCCUUCGGAGGCGAUAUCAGCUUAGAGAUGAUGAGGACGAGUUUGGAGAAGUACCAGGUAUGACUACUAGGUACAAAUUUGAACAGUUGAAAGUAGCAACCGAACAAUUCAGCAAAUUGCUUGGGAAAGGAGGAUUUGGGUCUGUUUUUGAGGGGCAGGUAGGCGAACAGAAAGUUGCUGUAAAACAGCUGGAUCAAGCUGGUCAAGGAAAGAAGGAAUUCUUGGCAGAAGUUGAGACAAUUGGAAACAUUCAUCACAUAAAUCUGGUGAGAUUGAUCGGCUUCUGCGCGGAGAAAUCUCACAGACUCCUAGUGUAUGAAUAUAUGUCCAAAGGAUCAUUGGACCAGUGGAUCUAUUUCCAAGAUGCAAAUAGGCCUCUGGAUUGGCAUACACGAUGCAGGAUUAUCACUGAUAUUGCCAAGGGCCUAGCUUAUCUUCAUGAAGAGUGCAGGCAACGAAUUGCUCAUUUGGAUAUCAAACCACAAAAUAUCCUCUUAGAUGACAACUUCAAUGCAAAACUUUCUGAUUUUGGACUAUCUAAGAUGAUUGACAGGGAUAAGAGCCAAGUGAUUACAAGAAUGAGAGGCACACCUGGAUAUUUAGCUCCUGAGUGGUUGACAUCACAAAUCACUGAGAAAGCCGACAUAUACAGCUUUGGUGUAGUAGUCAUGGAAAUUAUCAGUGGGAGAAAGAAUCUUGAUUAUUCCCAACCCCAAGAAAGCAUUCAUCUCAUUAGCAUAUUGCAGGACAAGGUAAGAAAUGAUCAAUUGGAAGAUUUGAUUGGUAUGAAUGGCAAUGAAAUGCAAAUUCACAAAGAAGAAAUGAUCCAGAUGAUGAAGCUCGCCAUGUGGUGUUUGCAGAUUGAUUACAACAAGAGGCCUCAAAUGUCGGUUGUUGUCAAAGUACUGGAAGGUACAAUGAAUGUGGAAACUAAUAUAGAAUUCAACUUUGUAGCUACGGUUCCAGGCAACCUUGGCAAUGAUGGGAAGUUGGCUUCAUCUGCUCCACUUCUAGCCUCUCAUUUAUCAGGUCCUAGGUGAAAUGAACCUAUUCUGAGUAAAGAUCACGCAUAGAAUAUUUGUAUACCAAGAAUCAACCAUGUUACAAAAAAUUGUAUAUUCUGAUGUACGCAAAUAUUUCCCAGUAGUCUUCUCACAUGAAUAUCAAAAUACCAUUAAGUUUUUUUUAUAUGGACCAGAUGAAGAGCACAGUUCAAGUUUUUUGCGGUGCCAGUUAAUUUUUCUCUAUGGAUAGAAUAAGUAUCAAGUUUAUAUAUUCUACAAAUAAUGCUAGAAUUAAGUGUAAACACUGACAACAUAACUUUAUGUUAGAUCUUUGUUAGUGUUAGGCUUUUGUGUUCCUGCUUUUCAAGAAAGAGUGACGGUAAUUCUGAGCAUUAGUUGUGGUUAAUAACAAAAAAAAUUAACUAAACAAUUUCACAAAUUUGGAGAGUAUACUUGCAGUUGGUCUUAUAGCUACAGGCUUGUCCCGUGAUAUUUUUUAAAGUAAAGAAAUUGCAACAGAUACCUUGUACAAUGUGUGAGCAGUAGGCAUAUAUAACCAGGCAGAAAGGUAACACACAAGUGAAGUUGAAGUAGUAUUAUGUACCAGUAAUCAGUAGAUGGUUCCAUCUAUAGAUAAAAUGCCACUUGAACAGAGAAUUCUUGCUUAGAUAUACUUCCUGAGAAACCAUAUACAUUUUGACACCUCUGGCAUGCACUUAUAGUUUGAGAUGCCCUGUUGCUAGUUGUCUUCAUAUUGUGUCAUUUGUCUGGCAUCAAAAAUUGCAGCUUGAUUUCACUUCCCUUCCUGCAAAGCCAAUAGAACUAUACGAGGAGGCUGUUACUAGUUCUUUCCAUUCCUUGAUAUUGCUAGGAGCCAGGAGUUAAACCACAUUUAGCUUAUAUAAUUUGUUCUCUCUGAGAUGAUUCAUCUAGAAGCAUCUCUGAUAGCAACAAUCAGCGGAUCUCUCCAUAAUAGCGUAAGGAUGAAUUGAUCAAACCCAUGAAGAUGCCCAAGAUCAAGGCAAUUCACUGUUUCUAUCAGUCAAAGCACUAGUUACUGGCACGUUGCACCUCCAAAUCCACUGGAGGUUUCAAGAAUGUUCAUGGUGCUCUUGUUGCAAGAGAUACAAACCCUCUCAACAUUAACCAAUCACCAUAUUUCCAGCCAAAGACGACGAAGGAACAGGUUUAGAUAUAGCAAACCAAAGUGUCCCCUGGCUCUCCAUUUCCUCAGCCACUCAGUUUGCAUCCUGAAACUCAGAGCACACGACCGCAAUUCAUCACAUCAUCCUUGCUUGGACCUGAUCCUUUGCAUUCCACAAGUACCCCAGAUGCAGCAGAAGGCUGGAGAACUGGAGAUCGCUUCACUGCAGAAACAGCAUCAAGAUCGAGCACUCGUAUCCUAUAAGGAGCACGUUGGCUCUCUGUUUCGCCCACCACUGACAGGAGAGGCAGGACCGCAGGAGCAACUCCACGCAGACCACUGAACCCGCUGCGACAUCCUCAUCAUAAGCCACGCCCUCUUGUAGAUACUCAUCUUUCCUUAAGCCCUGCUCACUGGCCUCACUAGCACAUGAGACGGCGCCACAGCCGAGGCAACUGCCUCCCAGAGUGGAACUGCUCGACGCAGCAUUUCAUCGAACAGGUGGCCGGCGACCCCACGGCAACGGAAGCCCAACUCGUCAGGGGAAUCGAAGGCCUUGAUCACAGCAGCCUGACAGGCGUGAGUAGUUGAAGCGCACGCCAAGUGCAGCGUGCAGGGGAUAACAAGGGAUCGGACUAUCGGAGUAAGGGACCCCGGCAGUGCGCUGGCCGUGGCCGGCGAGAUCGCGGCCGCGCAGGGGCAGAGACAGCGUGGCUGCGUGAGUCGACUGAUGACUCUGACGUGCGGGCCAGCACAACGAAAACCGGCACCGACGACUUUCUCGCGAACGUUCAGCUGUGCAGGGAGAAGCGCUACAGGCUGAAAAUUCUCCUCUCAAAAAAGGGUGAAUUGACGGUUUUCUUUUGUUCAGGACUUCUGUAAUUUCGGUAGAUUGCACUCUUAGGGGUGUUUGGAUCUUUGCUAAAGUUUAGCCUGGAUCACAUCGGAUAUUUGAUGCUAAUUAGGCAGAUUAAAUAUAGAUUAAUGAUAAAAAUAAUUGUAUAAAUAAGGGUUAAUUCACGAGAUGAAUUCAUCAAACUUAAUUAGUUCACGAUUACCACAUGUGAUGUUACAGUAAACAUGUACUAAUCAUAGAUUAAUUAGGUUUAAUGGAUUCAUCUCGCGAAUUAGCCCUCAUUUAUGCAAUUAUUUUUUUCAUUAGCCUAUGUUUAAUCCUCCUAUUGGCAUCCAAAUAUUCGAUGUGACCCGAGCUAAACUUUAGCCAAGGAUCCAAACACCCCCUUAGUUUGUCUUAGACAUGAUCAUGGACCGCCUGACCCGACAAACCCGACCCGACCCACCUGGAAAAAAA
rnacentral:lncRNA from 1 species